GGAAAUUGGUCUUUGUGUUAGAGUAAAGCCUUUUCCAGUCAUCCAGUACCAUCUUACUUGGAGGCAGCAAAUCAAGAGGAUUCUUUGGUUUGGGCUUUGGUGCCUCCUCCUCCACAGCGGCCUCUGCCUUUGCUGCCUGUUUCUCAACCUCCUUUUUGGCUUCUUUCUUUGGUUCAGCCUUUGGUUUAGUUUCUUUUGGCUGGGCAGCAGGCUUCUUUGAAGGAACAGGUGGUAGAGAGACUGCCUGCUUCACUUCACCAAGAAUCCUCUUGAUUUUUGGCUGAUUAACCAAGGUCCAAAAGUACCUCUCAACAUGAGGGAAUUCAGAGGUAAAACUCUUGGUCAUGAUCUGGAAGAAACCCAAGUAGAGAUUACAUGUCAUGAUAAUGUCAGCAAGGGUGACAGCAUGUCCAACAAGAAAUGUGUUGGAAGCAAGAUGAGUGUUCAAAGCGCCAAGGGCUCUCUUCAAUGCAGUAAUAGCAGCUUCCUCAGCCUACAUGCAAAAUACAAAUAAGAGAUUAAAAUGAAAUAGAUGGGCAAAAUCAUACCAUUAAAGUAAAAUGAGCUACUACUGAAUUACAAAAAUAAAAUUUCUCUUUAUAUAGAUUAAUAAAUACAUCAGAAUGGGGGAGAAAACAACCUAAUCUCUUAAAAAAAUAAUGAGGAGAAAACCCAUGCCUACUUGAUUAUCAAUUCAAUGGGCAUUCCCUUCUACCAAAAUUACUUAAUAGUGCUUGAGUUGAUUCCUUUCCAGAAACUAUGCAUGGGAAAACACCACCACAUUAAGCAUGUACUAAAUGUUGUGUAACUAAUCCUCUCUAAAAUAAAUAAAACAAGAAUCAUAGACAGGUAAUCAAUGCCAAUUUUCCCUUCACCAUGCCCACCUUAAUAUUAUGUAUUUUGAUGACUAAGCUGCCUUAUUCCAAUUUUAACAUGGGACCUAUUGUCUUAUAAUUAGAAAGAAACAAAGACUAAGUAUGGCCCCAGCAAAUCAAGCUUAAUUAAAAUGAUAAAAGAAUCUGCGAGGAAAGAUAGUAGAACUUACUGGAGGAAGGUAAACACCGUAACCAAGUCUUGGAUACAACCAUUUGGCAAUAUUAGCAUCAAUUUCCAUGGCUGCAAAAUCAAUCCAUUGCUCGAUAUGACCCUAAGAAAGCCAAAGUAAUACAUACAAACAAUUACUUCCAUGGUUUAAAAUAAACUUAACUGAUGACAGAAGAAAACAAGACCAUUGUACUAUAAGAAUCUUACAUAAUCAAUCAAUGUAGAACCACAUAUAGGGUUGUUAACCUUUGAGCGAGCAACUGCAGAGAAAAGUAUACCAAUAAGUAAACAAACAUUAGAGGAAGAAAAUUUAGGAUAUGGAGUCAGCAGAUCUUCUCACCAUAACGAGCAAUGGCAUUGCUCUCAAAUACCGGACCCUCAGGUGUUUCCAACACAGGAACCUAGAAGAGUUAUAAAUAUCUUCAGUGAACUGACCUAGAAAAAAGGUUACGUAACAUGCAUAAAAAAAAUUCUCCAGUUUAAAUAUAUUAAUAGGCGUUACAAGGUCACCUUCCCCAAAGGGUUCAUCUUGAUGAACUCAGGAGUCUUAUUUGACACACCCAUCUCAAAAUUCUCAACCAUUUUGACCUGCACACCACUAUAUUCUGCAGCAAUGAGUGCCUUAAAGGCAUUUUUGUUUGUUUUUCCUGCAUGCAAGAUCUGCAUGUAAAUCAACACACCACAUUGAUUAGAUGAACCGGUUGAUUAAGAAGUUGAAUACAAUGUCAAACACCAGUCACUCCCUACAACUAAUCCAGGAAAAUCCUGAAAUUAAUCCUUUUCGCCCUAUAAAUUCUCUUAAAGACCAUUCCCUUUACAUUCUAAACUACUAAACGGUACUUAGCAUUUCCAUCUACCAUACACAAUUAACCUAAUUGACGUAACAUCUCGCCAUCAAUCUUUCUUCUGGUCAAUGGUUCCCAAUUGAAAUCUAAGGUGGUAGAGUUAAAAUCAAAAUCAAUUUUUUUUUAUCGUUAUGAUUAGUAUCUACAAAUCCAUAAACUAUUCCAUUGAUAGUAACUAUAUAAAACAUAUUCAAUCUGCCACUUCCUUCGCAAUGUAAAAAAGCUAGUUACAAAUUUCACUUUCUAAUUCUACUCGAAAUAACUUCCACCUAGUCAUUAGGUGUCAAUUCUGUCAACAGUUAAACUACCACAAGAAACGAAACUAAUAUAGAUACACAGAUAUAAAGCUUACCAGAGCCAUGGCUUGAUAGAAAAGAGCGCUACGAUUUGAGAACUGAGAUCUGGAAAUUGAAAAACAGAGAAUAAAAAUAAACGGAAUAAGGAAAAAUAUUCAAGCAGGAGAACUUGAUUGCCAUGUAUUAAGGAGAAAAAAUGAGAGAAGGGAUUAAGAAAGAACCUUAGACGAAAUCGCAGCGAGAAGGAGCGGGAGAGACUGCGGGACAAAGAGAGAAUAAAAGAAGGGGGGACUAGGGUUUUUGUAGAGUAGAGCGAAUGUGAUGUGGGGUUAUCAGUUCGGGUUCCGGUUUAGAUCCAGAUUUACUAACCCCUUUCUUUUUCCGGUUCUUUUAAGCGUGUCUUUCAAGUAAUAAGUGGGUGAGUUAGAAGUAGAGGUGAUCAUGGGCCGUGCCGGGCCGGGUCGGGUUCGGGCUGAACUCAUACAAAUUUUUAGGCCUGUUUAUUAGGCCCGGGUUCGGCUCGAAAUAUGGGCCUAAAAUUUUGUCCAAGCCCGACUCGAAAUAAAAUUACUAAGCCCGGCCCGGCCCGGCCCGGCCCAUAUUAAAAAAUUUUUUAUUUCAUUAAAUAAAAAAAUUUAAAAAUAUAAUAAAUCAAAUAUAUUUAAAAACAUAAAAACAAAUAUUAAAACAAAUAAAAAUAAUACUAAAACAAUUCUUAAAACAAUACACAAAUUAAUAAUAUAAUAAAAAAUAGUUAUAUUAAAAAUUUAAAAUAAUUAAAAAUAAAAUAAAUAUAUAUAUAUAUAAUUUGGGCAGGGCCGGGCCGGGCCGGGCCCGGGCCAAAAAACUCUUACCCGAGGCCCGGCCCGUUUUCUAAACGGGCCUCAUUUUUUUGCCCAAGCCCAUUUUUCGGGCCUAUAUUUUUACUCAAACCCUCCCAUUUUUUGAGCGGGCCUUCGGGCCGGGCCGCCCAGCCCAUGAUCAGCUCUAGUUAGAACUAGUUUAAUGGGAUUACCAUUUAAAGAAUAAUUAAAUAAAAAUUAUAAAUUAUAAAUUAUAUAAAAAAAUUCUCAUAACCAUUGAACCGUUGUUUUUCUCCAAUUUUCUUUUUCACAACAGUUUUGCUUUUUAUGUAAUUACACGCAACUAAUUUAUCUGGAUAGAUUAAAUCACGAAUUUUUAGUUUAAUUCUUUAGUUCACUCUGAACAACACUACUUAUCUCAAAUUUUUUAUUUUGUGUCUAGUUAUUAUUAUUAUUAUUAUUAUUAUUAUUAUUAUUAUUAACUUGGAGUAUAAUGAUUUAAAUUUUUGCUCAUGCAUGUUGAGGUUCUUUAUUUAGAUAAAAGUUAAUUCAAGUUGGGUUCAAACAUUGUUAUAUGUGAUAUUUUAUUUAAAAAAAAUUAAACUAUCCUCGAAUAAUUUAAUUUAUUUUAAAUAUGAAAAAUAUGUUAAAUUUGUAAAAUAAAUCUGAAAUAAAACUUAAUAAAUUAGGAUCUAUUAUGUCAAAUCAUCAAGAAUAAAUCAAAAACAAAACUAGAUGCAGAAGCGUACCUGAAUCCAUGAAUUCCUUGAAGUUUUACCUGAUCUUGGGGAUUUGAUCUUCUAAAUUGGAACACAAGAAAUUCAGAGAAUAUUUGCUCUUUCUUUCCUAAUGAUGAGAUAUUAGAAAAGAUAUCUUGUAUAUAAUUUGGGGACCAUAACCCUAAACUUCACAUAUUUGACCCAUACUUUAUUUAAUAAUUAAAACCCAGUAAAAUUUUAACCAAAUUAGAUCACUUUUAAUUUUGGCUAAUCUAUCAUGAUAAUAAAUAAUAACAUAUAAUUACCCUUAUUAUAUAUGUGAUGUCCAUAUUUUCCAACAAUCUCCCACUUGGACCACAUAUAUGUACUAAUUACUCUAUAAUUACAUGUCAUUAUAUAACCUUAUGAGCUCAAAAUUUUACUAUCAUAUCCAAAAGGUAUUCCAAAUAAUCUCGUCCAUUAAUUAUGUUAACAUAGAACCAAGGCGACUUUCGUUACGUAUAUCGUAACUAAAUCCAUCCAUGAUUACGUAUAUUAACACAACCAAAUGACAUAGAUCAAGUAUGGAUGUGUAGCAUGGAACAUGCAAUAUGAUCUAAACAUGUCUAUUUCCAAUUAGUCCUCCUUAGUGAGACCAAACCUUACCAAAAUCAGAGUGUGAAUAAACCAAAUAAACUUCAUUUCUGCAGAAAAUAAACUUAAUAUCUUUAAACUGAAAUAACUGAAAAUGUGUCUAUGACAUAAAAGCAUUUAAAAAUACUAUCUCCCACUAAAAUCAAAUAUCUUUUAAAUGACAUUACACUUAUAUGAGCAGUGUGCUCUUAUAAGACCUUAGGUGUAGUUCCUUAAUAAGCGGAUCUACAAUCAUGGAGUUUGUCCUAAUAUGCUUUAUAAGCACCUAACCACUCUGGACUUUUACUUUAACAACCAUGAACUUAAAGUCUAUGUGUUUUUACUUUGAUGUGCUCCUAUUGAUAUUGGAAUAAAAGACUGCAAAUUGUUUUCACAAUUUGCACCUUAAUGAAAAAAUCUUGUAUCCAUAUUCCAUCAAAAUCGAAGCCUAUAUACUUGAUGAUCUCUAACUGAUUAGACCUCCGAUAUGUGAACAUGUAAUCUUUUGUUCUCUGAAAAUACCUUAUAACCCUCUUGGAUGCGAUCUAAUGGUCCAAACCAGGGUUGCUUAAAAUAUCUGCCUAACAUCCCAAUAGUGUACACAAUAUUCCAAUGUAUACAAACUUGAACAUAUAUUAGACUUUCUACUACUAAAAUGUAAAAAAAUCUAAUGCAUUUUUGUAAUCUCAAAAUCAUUCUUAGGGCAUUGAUUGAAACUAUACUUAUUAUUGAUAAGCAGUAUGUCAUUAACAUAUAAAACCAAAUAUAGAACCUUACUCCCACUAAACUUAUGGUAUAUACGAUUAUCAAUAAAAUUCAUCUCUAAACCGAAUAAAAUAAUCAUUUGGUAAAAUUUGUAAUAUUAUUGACGAGAAGUUUGGUUAAGCCCAUAGAUGAAGUUCUUUGCAAAUCAUUAACUUUGCAUCAUUAGACACAAAGCUUUCUAAUUGCGCCACAUAAAUGUAUGAUCAAUGUUACCAUUGAGAAACCAUUAACUUAAUAUUCAUCUGAUGUAGCUUAAUGUCAAAAUAUUCCACUAAAGCCAUUAUAACCCUUUCUCUAGUGGACCUUUUUAAUGACAUUCAUUCUUGAGGUUGUUAAGUUUGUUUUUUGGAACAAUUACCUCAUCUUGAAUAGGGAGUUGUUUAACAUUGUCUUAUUGAGGUUCUAGAUUCACUUCUUAAUCAAUGAUAGGUAUGAGAAUCUAAACAUCAUCAAAAGUGAUAGUAAGAAUUGAGUUAAAAUUCAAUUCCUCCUUAAAAACAAUGUAUCUAACCUUAUUUCUCCUUCCAAACUCAACAUCCUAAAAGAAUGUUGCAAUUCUCAUCUCAAAAAAAUAUUCCUAAUUGUGGGAUUAUAAAAUUCAUAGCCCUUAGAUCGCUCAGUAUUUCCUUGACCUUAUACUUUAUAGACAUCAAAGAAGUUAGAAAUGAUGUCAUUUCAACCUUAUCAUUUUUAGCAAAACGUUUCUCAAUUUCGUCAAUGAAACCUUAGCCUGAGUAAUCUUUUCAGAUUCUAUGCCCUUAAAGGCUUCUAAAAUGUUGUGCCUCAUGAUCAUUAAACUCAUGCAAUUUGAAUGAUUCUACCUCUCAAAAUCCCUUUGUAACACUCUGAAAAUUUCUACAGUAAGAUAUUAUCCUUAAUAUAGUAAAAUAAGGAAAUAAAGUGACAAGAAGAGGAAAAUUGAGUUAUGUCACUGGGAAAUAUAUUAUGACAUAUCGAUUCAAGAAAGGACUAAAUUAUAAAAGUGAGAAAAUUUUUGUGGCUCAAGAGUAAAUACUCCAAAUUUGAGGGAUUAAAGUGUAAAUAUAAAAAAGUUGAAGGACUAAUAUUGCAAAUAUUUUAAGGGUGGAAUGAUCUAGAAACCAAGGAAAAUUGAUGAAUUAGGACCAAAUUGAAUAGGUGAAGAACUAUGAGGGACUAAAUUAUAAUUUUACCAAAUUAAGUGAUGACUCAAGAAUGGAAUUUUAAAAGAUCACAAAGGGCAAAAUGGUCAAUUGGAAGAGAGAGAAAUCUAGAAAGUAAUGUUAUGUUGGUGAUAUUUUAUAAUUAUAUAAUUAGAUAAUUAUUAUUUAUUUAAUAUUUUAAUAAGAUAUUUUAUUAUUUUAUUAUUUUAUUUAGUCUAUAUAUAUAUGUGUGUGUGGAAAAAAAACACACACUUACACACCAUCCAUCAUCUUUCCCAUGCACUAAUGUGAGAGGAAGAGAGAAUGAAAGAAAGUUUUACUUUCUUUAUAAUUUGGUCCUUCUACCAAAAAUUCACCAUUUUCACCCAAAAAUCAAAAGAAUUUCCAUAGCUACCAAGAGAGAAAAAUGUUAAGAAAACUAUGAGAAGUUAGAAUAUCAAGUUGGAUUCAAGAAAAAGAAGUUGAAGGAGAGAGAAAAUCAAGUUAAAGAUUGAAAUCAAUGGAACAAGGUAAGAACAUCAAGAUUUCAAUACAUUUUUAAGAUUAAUAUUAUUGAAAAAGCAUGGAAUUGAUGUUAAUGUAGAGUUUUCUUAUAUAUGGUCUUAUGUUCUUGAUAUGUUAGUGAAGAAAAAAAUAAGAGAAAGUAAUGAGAAAUAGUGUAGAGAAAGAAAAUAAAGGUGUUAUAAACAUGGUAAAUAAACAUCUUGCACUAAAACAGUUUUGGACAGCAGCAGUAGGCUAAAUUUAAAAAAUCACCAUAAAUUGUGGAAAUAGUAUUAGAGGAUUAAAAAAAUAUUGAAUUAAAUCUUAUUGAGUCUAGUUUCUUAUAGAAAAAACGGUACAAGAAAUGGAAUCGUAAAUUGUGAGAUAUAGUAAAUUUAGUGAGACAAUGUCAGAAUGAUUUCGAGUUCCCUUGUUCUGACUUUGGAAAAUCAUAAAAAAUUGGAGAAAAAUAAUUAGGUUCUUAAAGUUAUAUUUUUAAAAUUCUGAAUGAGUAAUAGAAACAAACGAGAACAUCAUCUGAAUCCUGUACAAUGAGAUAAUUAAUUUUUUAGUAAAGAAGGGUCGGAACUGUCAGACAACAGAAUAAGGGUGACUUUAAAGAAUAAAAUGUACUUAUUGGCUAAACCAAAAAUUCUUAAAAUUUUAUGGUAAGAAUAUACGUAAGUCUAGUUUCAUAGAAAAUUAGCGGAUCUUAAUUUCGAGUUUUGCAGCUCUAGAUAUAAAUAAUUAGUGACUGUGACGCAAAUGGACAAUUUUGAAUAUACAUAUAAGUAAAUAGUGAAAUUAUUGAUAAUGUUACUUGUAGCAUGUUAUAUAAAUAUAGGAUGUGGAAUGGAGAGGAUGAGGAGGAAAAUAUGCAUGAAUAUUCAGCUAGCAUGGCUAAUUUGCACGUUUUAGGCUCAGGGACUAAAUUGAAUAAAAGUAAAACUUUAUGGGCAAUUUUGUAAAAAUGUUAGAAAUGACCAAUUUGCAUGAAAUGGAUUAUUUAAUUAUUUAAAAUUGCAAACUUGAAUGAAAUUAUUAACUUAGUUCAAGAUCGGGGAAAAACAUGUUUUAAGGAUUAAAUUGAAAAGUGUUGAAAUUAUGGAAAAUUAUGAUAUUUUAUAGAAUUCAUGGGUUGUUAUCAAUUUGUAUGAGAAUAACGGCUAGAAAUAAGGAUUAAAUUGCAAGAAUUUUAUUUUUUUGAGCCUAAAGAUGAAAUCAUCAUUAAUUAAAAAGUUUAGGGGCAAAAUGGUAAUUUUGUUUAGAGCAUUGAAUGUAUUAGAACAUGAAAUAAAUGAAAACGACGAUCAAAUUUAUUUAUAAAGAUUCGGAUGACUCGAAUACGAGACUUGAACGUGGAAAAGAAAAAAUAUCAGAUUAAUGAAAUUAUAAACAUGAACAAGCAGCGAGGUAAGUUAGUGUAACUUGAAUUGUAUUUUUAAAUGCAUGAAAUAUCGAUAUAAAGAAUUAUCCGAUUUAUUUUUAUGAAGAAAUGGCAAGAGAAUGAUAUUUAUCAUGGCAUGUAAAUAUGUGAUUAUCUUUGAAAUUCAGUAUAUUGAGACGAGUAAUAAAUUCAAGUAAAACAUGUCGAGAAAAAUAAGUACGUUUAAGGGACAAUAUGUUUGAUUUUAAUUGGUUCCAAAUAUGAACGUUAGAUGAAAUAAAAUAUCUGAUAAAUAAAUCGAUACCUCCGGUAAUGCUCCGUAACUCUAUUUCGGUGAUGGAUUCGGGUUAAGGGCGUUACACCCUUUUAACAUAGGGGGUGCUUUCCGCAGUGAGAGGUGCGAGUAGUUCUUCCUUUAGUGCAAGGUUUAUGUUCAUACAGCCAAGCACUAUAAGUAAGUGCCUUUUCCAUUCAUUGAAAUUAGUCCCAUUAAGCAUGGGUAUAGAAUUUAUAUUAGCGGAUAUUGUGGCAGUAAUAUGAAUUAACUGAAUAUAGAACAAAAAAUAAGUAAAAAUAAGCUCACAGCAAUAUUCAUAAGUAAACAAUAAAUUCAGGAUAAUGGUUAAUCCUAUCUCAAGAUACCAAACACAACAUUAAUAUCAAUUUUUUGGACGAUAAUAUUAACAGUAAGCGGUACUUUUGUUGUAGCAAUCAAACAUUGACAAUAAAUCAUGUCAAACAAUGAAUUAAUCUUUAGACUGACAUAUUGCUCACAUAAAGUACCUUAUAAUUGUCACACAUUUAUCGCCACAGAUGUCGUUGAAAUUCUGCCAAAUAUUAACUUACCUUUGGGUCAAUUAAUAAACGCAUGAAUUACAAAAAUAUAUAAUCAUCUUGCUAUUUUAAAUAAACUAAUCUACACAAAAGAGGUCACUUUGGCGGUAUUUUGUUUCAACUAAUUUAUUUAAAAAUACUAGACAUCCUUAAUUAAAACCUAAAGCCAAAAUCUGAAUUUAUUUGUUUCAAAAUAUUUCUUUUAAUUUCAUCUUUCAAUCAAAUUAAAAGAUAAUAGUAUAUAUAUGUAUAUAUAUAUUUACCCCAAAACAACAUACAAUGAUGUUGGCAAAUAUAAUAAUAGUUGAAUAAAUCUUAAACCAUAAACAACCUCACAUAAGACUUCAAAUUUAAACUAAAAUAAUUUGAAUAAAGAUAAACCUCAACUUAAGAUAUCGGACACUCCAUUAAUAUUUCAUCUUUGAAAAAAAUAUUAACUUGUAAGUGAUAUCUUGGUGUAGUAAUCAAACAUUGACAAUAAGAACAUGUCGAACAAUAAAUCUUCCUAUGAGCCAAUUUAUUACUCACAUGUAAAACCGAAUAAUCGUCACAUGUUUAUCACCAUAGUUGCACAUGUAAUAUUAUUAACCUUCAUUUGGGCCGAUCAAUAUCAACAUAACUUAAGUUACAUGCACACAAACUUUUAUAUUUUAAAACAAAAUAAUUUAUACAAAGAAAUCACUUUGGUGACUUUUUGCUUCAAUUAAGUUAUUUUAAAAUAUAUAUAAACAUACCAAUAUUCAAAUUUAAAUUUCCCCAAUAGUCAAAUGUUAAAACUAUUUUUUUAUUGCUUUAUAGACUCUAUGUAACACCCCCACGCCCGAAACUGUCACCGGAGUCAAGCUUGAGGUGUUACUAAACUUAUCUUACCUUUUAAACAACUCUAAACCACUUAUUUUAAUUUUUGGAAUAAACUAUUUUUCUGCGUCAUGGUUGCUUAAAAAUUCAUUUCUCGAGUUUCAAAACUCAAAAUUAAGAUCCGUAAAUUUUUCCUGAAACUAGACUCAUAUAUCUAUCUACUAAUUUUUUUCUAGAAUUUUUGACUCGGCCAAUUAGUACAGUUUAUUAGUUAAAGUUUCCCCUGUUUCAAAACUCAACUACACUGACCUCUUCUUACUACAAGCCAUGUUUCUUCCUGUAAAAAAAUUCAUAUGACUAAGCCGUUUGUUUCUCUCAAAACUAGAUUCAACAAGGAUUCUAACCAUAUAAAUUACACCUUCUAAUUAGUUUUGUACAAUUUAUGGUGAAUUUCCAAAUUUGAAACAGGGGAUCCAGAAAUCGCUCUGACCCUGUUUCACUAAAACUUAGAUAUCUCAUAAAAUAUAAUACCUUUACCUGUUUUUCUUAUUCCAUAAGAAAAUAUAUAUAAUAAGCUUUAAUUUCAUAUAUUAUUCAUCUUCAAACUAUGUUUCUGAAAUUUUUAGUGAUUUUUGAAAGUUACGUCAUUUCUGUUACUUGAAUCUGUUUUUAGGUUACUUUCACAUUUUUCAUAAUUUUCAUGUGAUAAUCAUCAAUCAAUCAUACAUAUUAAUAAAUAUGUAUAUCAUCGGCUAUUUUAUUAGCUAAUCACUAGCAAGUAUUUACACAUCAUUCAUUGUUCAUAUUAUACCAAAAGUAGCUAAGUUUCUAUACAUGCCAUACCCAAAACAAAACGUCUAGUUAUACCGAGUUAUUUCUUUGAUAGUGUGAUCGGCCUCCGACGUUUCCUUCGAUCCCCGAGUGACUAGAUAAGUACUAUAAGAAGAAGAAAAUAAAGAGAUUAAGCACUAGGCUUAGUAAGCUUACAAGCAAAUAAAUCACAACAUUCAACAUAAUGGAUAAUUAUGCAUAAUAUCAUCUAACAUCAUAAAUUUCUUUACUUCUCAAUUUGUAUCUUCUUCUUUAUUCCCUUACCUUCUUUCUUACUUGACCUUUCCUUUUUCAUAAGUAUAAUCUACUUUUCCUUUGCUGUUAAUUCACUGUAAUUUAACUCGUAUCCUGACCCGUUGAACCACUCGGAAUACUAAGGAUACUAGGGUCGUUCCUGUCUAUCAAUAUCCUGCCAAUGCCAUGUCUUUGACAUGGACUUACAUGAAUUAUUCCUGUCUCCAAUGCCAUAUAUAAUAUGGACUUACAUGGCUCAAUCCUGUCUCCAAAGCCAUAUUUCUAAUAUGGACUUACAUGGCUCAUUUCUGUUUUGUCCUGUCAACUCUAAUAUCCUAACAUUCCUAGGGUUCAACCGGGGCUUUCUAACACUUUUCCUCUGUCACUCCACCUUAAAUUCGACUUUACAUAUUUUCAUAACAUAAGUAUAUAAAUGCUGGAAAUUGACAAUAAUAAUGUAAAAUAAAAGAAUAUUGCAUUUAUUUACUGUAACUUACCUUGAUACAAAAUGUGACUAAACUUUACAAUUUAGUCCUUUACUUUUUCUUUUCCCCGAUCUACUCCCGAAUUUCGUUCUUCUUGAUCUAUAAUAGCAAAUUUAACUUAUUUAAUAUUCACAUUUAUUAAAACAGUCCUUGACCCAAACUUUUGCAAAAUUAUAUUUUUACCCCUAAACUUUCACAUAUUUGCACUUUUGCCCCAAGGCUCGUAAAUUAAACUUCAUCCUAUUUUCUUAUGUUUUAUGAUAUGCUGAUCAUUUUUCCCUUCUAUGGCAAUAUCAAAAUCACACUCUAACAUAUACUUAUGACUAUUGGUAUUUUUUUCCAAUUUAAGCCCUUUUACUCGUUUUCACUUAAAACCGAGUAGCAUAAGUUGUUUAACAUAAUUUAAAACCUCAUAUUCUAUCAUAAGACACCAAAAUACACAAACUUCAGUCAUGGGUAUUUUUCCAAAUAUGAACCCUAGGCUGAAUUAUUGCUAGAAUAAGCUUAAUCAAGUUACCGGGACUCCAAAAACGUAAAGAUCAUUAAAAACGGGGCUUGGAAUCACUUACUAUGAAGCUUGAAAGUUGAAGAAACCCCAGCUAUGGAGGAGAGCAAAAAUCGGCAGAAACUAAUUGAGAAGAUGACCAUUUUUGUGUUAUUUUUCCCUAUUUAAUUCAUUUAAUAUCCAAAUGACCAAAUUACCCCUCCUUACUAAACUUUCAAAAAUUCCUUCCAUGUCCUAAUUUUUGUCCAUGAACUUAAAAUUGGUCAAAUUGUUAUUUAAACCCUCCUAAUUAAUAUUCCAAAGUAAUUUCAUACUAAAAACUUCUAGAAUGCAAGUUUUGCAAAUUAUUCAAUUUAGUCCCUAACCUCAACUUAAGCAUUUUAUGCAUGGAAUUUCAUCACGAAAUUUUCACACAAUCAUGCAAUCAUACCAUGAACCUUAAAAUAAUAAUAAAAUAAUUUUUUCUACCUCGGAUUUUUGGUUUCGCAACCACUAUUCCGUUUAGGCCCUAUUUUGGGAUGUUACAUUUCUCCCCCCUUUUAGGGAUUUUCGUCCCGAAAAUCUUACCUGUGAAGAGAUUUGGGUACUGUUUUUGCAUAGCCUCUUCGGGUUCCCAUGUAGCCUCAUCUACCCCGUGUCUAUUCCAUAGUACUUUUACAAGUGCAAUAUUUUUAUUCCUUAAUUGCUUUACCUCUCGAGCUAGAAUCUUUGCCGGUUCUUCACCGUAAGUCAUGUCUGGCUGAAUCUCAACCUCUGUCUGAGAAAUCACAUGUGAUGGAUCUGAACAAUAACGACGUAGCAUAGACACAUGAAAUACAUUAUGAAUCUUCUCUAACUCAAUCGGAAAAACUAACCGAUAUGCUAAUGGUCCGACUCUCUCAAUUACUUCAAACGGUCCAAUAAAACGUGGACUUAGUUUGCCUUUCUUGCCAAAUCUGAGAACUUUCUUCCACGGGGAUACUUUCAGAAAAAACUUUGUCACCAACUUGAUAUUCGAUCUCUUUUCUUUUUAAAUCUGCGUACGACUUCUGCCUGUCUGAAGCUGCUUUUAAACAAUUUCUGAUAACUUUCACUUUUUCUUCUGUUUCUUUAACUAGAUCAACCCCGUAAAUCUGGCUUUCUUUAAGCUCUGUCCAAUAUAAAGGUGUACGACAUUUACGUCCAUACAAAGCUUCAUAAGGUGUCAUCUUCAAACUUGACUGGUAACUAUUAUUAUAGGCAAACCCUACCAAUGGUAAGUAUUUUUCCCAACUACCUUGAAAUUCUAAUACACAACAUCUAAGCAUAUCUUCAAGUACCUGAAUAACUCUCUCUGACUGACCGUCGGUUUGAGGAUGGAAAGUUGUACUAAAACUCAACUUUGUGCCCAAAGCCUCUUGUAAUUUCUUUCAAAACCGUGAAGUAAAUCUUGGAUCUCUGUCUGAAAUAAUCGAUAAUGGUACCCCAUGUAGCCUGACUAUCUCUGAAAUAUACAACUCCGCCAACUUGUCAAGUGAAUAAUCCAUACGAACUGGGAUAAAAUGAGCCGACUUCGUUAACUUAUCAAUCACAACCCAUAUUGCAUCUUUCUUUCUCGGUGUAAACGGUAAUCCUGUCACAAAAUCUAUAGUAACUGAUCCCAUUUCCAUUUCAGAACUAGCACAGGCUGCAAUAAUCCUGAGGGUACCUGAUGUUCGGCCUUUACCUGUUGACAAAUCAAGCAUCUAGAAACAAACUCUGAAAUAUCUCUUUUUAUUCCUACCCACCAAUACAAUUUUUUCAAAUCAUUAUACAUUUUUGUACUGCCUGGAUGAAUAGAUAAAGGACUGCUAUGUGCUUCCUGUAAAAUCUUCCGAAUAAGCUCAUCAUUCUUUAGUACACAUAUUCUGUCUCUAAACAUCAAACAACCAUCAGAACCAAUCCAGAAAUCUGAUUCUAUGCCUGACUCACAUUGAGCUCUUUUAGCUUGUAACUCAUUAUCAUCUUUCUAAGCUUCACAAAUCUCUUCAAGAAAUACCGGUUUAGCUCUCAAUUCAGCUAAAAUAGAACCAUCAUCUGACAUGGCUAAAUUGGUAUUCAAAGCUCGCAAUGUAAAUAAAAGUUUCCUACUUAAAGCGUCAGCAACUACAUUUACCUUACCUGGGUGAUAAUCAAUCACUAAUUCAUAAUCUUUAAGCAAUUCCAACCAUCUUCUUUGCCUCAAAUUCAAAUCUUUUUGAGUCAUCAAGUAUUUCAAGCUUUUAUGAUCGGUAAAUAUCCGCCACCUUUCACCAUACAAAUAAUGUCUCCAAAUCUUCAAUGCAAAUACAAUAGCAACUAGCUCUAAAUCAUGUGUCGGAUAAUUUUUCUCAUGUGGCUUCAAUUGUCUAGAGGCAUAAGCAAUUAUCUUUCCUUCCUGCAUGAGUACACAACCGAGCCCAUUCAAGGAUGCAUCACUGUAAAUCACAAAUUCUUUACUCGGUUCCGGCUGUACUAAGAUAGGAGCUUCCGUCAACAAUGCCUUUAACUUGUCAAAACUUUGUUGGAACUUCUCAGUCCAUUCAAACUUAACAUCCUUCCGUAGCAGUCUCGACAACGGGGUAGCUAUCAUGGAAAAUCCCUCCACAAAUCGUCUAUAAUAUCCGGCAAGACCAAGAAAACUUCUAACUUCUGAUACAUUUCUAGGAAGCUUCCAAUCAACAAUGGCUAAAAUCUUGCUCGUAUCAACCUUAAUACCUUCACCUGAGACAAUAUGUCCAAGAAAACCAACUUCUCGUAACCAGAACUCACUUUUGCUGAACUUGGCAUACAACUGAUUACCUCUCAGAAUUUGUAAAACUGUUCUCAAAUGCUCUGCAUGCUCAGUCUCAUCAUGAGAAUAAAUCAAAAUAUCAUCAAUGAACACAACUACAAACUUAUCUAAAUACGAUCUGAAAAUUCAGUUCAUUAAGUCCAUGAAAAUGGCAGGAGCAUUAGUCAAGCCAAAUGGCAUCACAAGGAACUCAUAAUGACCAUACCUAGUCCGAAAAGCAGUCUUCAGGACAUCUGACUCUUUAACUCGCAACUGAUAGUAUCCGAAUCUCAAAUCUAUCUUGGAAAACACAGUAGCUCCCUUCAAUUGAUCAAACAAAUCAUCAAUUCUAGGCAAUGGAUACUUGUUCUUUACUGUUACCUUGUUAAGUUACCGAUAAUCUAUGCAUAAUCUCAUCGAUCCGUCUUUCUUUUUCACAAAUAGCACUGGUGCACCCCAUGGUGAACUACUGGGUCUUACCAAGCCUUUAUCUGUUAAUUCUUGCAACUGAGCUUUCAAUUCUUUCAAUUCCAACGGAGCCAUUCUAUAAGGAGCAAUAGAAAUGGGCGUGGUACCUGGAAUCAACUCAAUACCAAACUCAACUUCUCUAACAGGAGGCAAACCUGGUAGUUCUUCCGGAAACACAUCGGGAAACUCACAUACCACAGGCACUGAUUCAAUUUUCAAUUCUGGAUCCUUAGUGUUUAACACAAAAGCAAGAUAAGCUUCAUACCCUUUUCUCAAACAUUUCUGAGCAGACAUAACAGAAAUUAUGGGAAAUAAACUAUCUGACUCUUCUGAAUUAACCCGAAGAAUUUCACCAUUUUCACACUUCAACUCAAUGAAUUUCUUUCUACAAUUCACUAUCACAUCAUGUGUAGUCAAUCAAUCCAUACCAAGAAUCACAUCAUACUCAUCAAAUGGCAAUAGCAUGAGAUCAGCAGGAAAACAGUAGCCUCUAAUCAUUAAAGGACAAUUUCUACAUACUUUAUCUACUAAUACAUGCUUGCCUAAUGGAUUCGAUACUUUAAUCACAAAUUCUGUAGAUUCUAUAGGCAUACUUAUACUAGGCAUCAAUUUCAUACAAACAUAAGAAUGAGUCGAACCCGGAUCAAUCAGAGCAAUGACAUUAAUAUCAUAUAGAGAAAAUGUACCCGUAAUCACAUCGGGGGAGGAUGCCUCUUCGCGUGCACGAAUAGCAUAAGUCCUUGCAGGGGCUCUAACAUCUGGUCUCACAGCCGAAUCUCUAAAGGUACCUCUGUUACUUGCUCCUACUCCCGGUUGCCUCGGUGAUCUGCCUCUAGUAGGAGCAUUUCCGGAUCUAGCACUCUGUGUUACUUCUCGGCUAGCCACUUCUGGACAUUCUCGUACAAAAUGAUCUGGAGCACCACAUUUAUAGCAAACAUUUUCGCCUGCCCGACAAGGACCAUAAUGAAGUCUACCACACCGUGGACACCCUGAUCUACCCUGUCUGACAUUACCUACACUCGUAGUCGAGGUGGUCUGAGCCUUCGGAUCCUUAAAUCUGUUACCUCUAUUCUGACUAGAUUGCCCUGCUGAAAAGCUAGAUCUGGUAGAAAACUCCACUGACAGUCGGAUAUCAUCAUUUAACCCAUCCUCAAACCUUUUACACAUGAUAGCCUCUGUGGACACACAUUCUCGAGCAUAUUUACUAAGCCUGACAAAUUCGCGCUCAUAAUCGGUCACUGUCAUAGUACCUUGUUUCAAUUCCAAGAAUUCCUUUCUCUUCUGGUCAAUAAACCUCUGACUGAUGUACUUUUUACGAAAUUCCUCCUGAAAGAAAUCCCAAGUGACCCUCUCCUUUGGUACAACUGAUACAAGUGUCUUCCACCAGUAGUAGGCUGAGUCUCUAAGAAGUGAUACUACACAUUUCAUACAUUCCUCGGGUGUACAAGAUAAUUCGUCAAAGACUCUGAUAGUAUUUUCUAACCAAAAUUCUGCUCUUUCUGCAUCAUCAUCUUUUGUUGCUCGGAACUCUUCUGCCCUUUGUUUCCUGAUUCUAUCAACUGGUGGCUUUUCUCUUACCACUGUACCUGUGACUGGGGAAGCUUGAGCUACAUGGGUAGCCUGAGAAUCAUGAGGGGGUGGAGGUCUAACUGCCGGAUUCGUACGAACGAACUCGGCAAACAAAUCAUUCAAAGCUCGGAAGAGAGCUUCUCGAGUCACUCCUCCCUGAUCAACUAUUACUGGCCUAUUCUCAGAUGGCGCUGCCCCUUCUAUGGGAGCAGGCGCAUUACUUUCUACAUCAUCAUCACCAGCUCGUCCGGGAUCCAUUACUAUAAAACAAAAUAUUUAAAAAUCGUCAGGAGUCGUCACACUAUCAAAAUACAAGUAUGGCAUGUAUAGCUAGACUUUUUCUCACACUAACUGUUCCGAGAACCGACUAAACCUGCUCUGAUACCAAUAAUGUAACACCCCCACGCCCGAAACCGUCACCGGAGUCAAGCUUGAGGUGUUACUAAACUUAUCUUACCUUUUAAACAACUCUAAACCACUUAUUUUAAUUUUUGGAAUAAACUAUUUUUCUGCGUCAUGGUUGCUUAAAAAUUCAUUUCUCGAGUUUCAAAACUCAAAAUUAAGAUCCAUAAAUUUUUCCUGAAACUAGACUCAUAUAUAUAUCUACUAAUUUUUUUCUAGAAUUUUUGACUUGGCCAAUUAGUACAGUUUAUUAGUUAAAGUUUCCCCUGUUUCAAAACUCAACUACACUGACCUCUUCUUACUACGAGCCAUGUUUCUUCAUGUAAAAAAAUUCAUAUGGUUAAGCCGUUUGUUUCUCUCAAAACUAGAUUCAACAAGGAUUCUAACUAUAUAAAUUACACCUUCUAAUUAGUUUUGUAUAUUUUAUGGUGAAUUUCCAAAUUUGAAACAGGGGAUCCAGAAAUCACUCUGACCCUGUUUCACUAAAACUCAGAUAUCUCAUAAAAUAUAAUACCUUUACCUGUUUUGCUUAUUCCAUAAGAAAAUAUACAUAAUAAGCUUUAAUUUCAUAUAUUAUUCAUCUUCAAACUAUGUUUCUGUAAUUUUUAGUGAUUUUUGAAAGUUACGUCAUUUCUGUUACUUGAAUCUGUUUUUAGGUUACUUUCACAUUUUUCAUAAUUUUCAUGUGAUAAUCAUCAAUCAAUCAUACAUAUUAAUAAAUAUGUAUAUCAUCGGCUAUUUUAUUAGCUAAUCACUAGCAAGUAUUUACACAUUAUUCAUUGUUCAUAUUAUACCAAAAGUAGCUAAGUUUCUAUACAUGCCAUACCCAAAACAAAACGUCUAGUUAUACCGAGUUAUUUCUUUGAUAGUGUGAUCGGCCUCCGACGUUUCCUUCGAUCCCCGAGUGACUAGAUAAGUACUAUAAGAAGAAGAAAAUAAAGAGAUUAAGCACUAGGCUUAGUAAGCUUACAAGCAAAUAAAUCACAACAUUCAACAUAAUGGAUAAUUAUGCAUAAUAUCAUCUAACAUCAUAAAUUUCUCUACUUCUCAAUUUGUAUCUUCUUCUUUAUUCCCUUACCUUCUUUCUUACCUGACCUUUCCUUUUUCAUAAGUAUAAUCUACUUUUCCUUUACUGUUAAUUCACUGUAAUUUAACUCGUAUCCUGACCCAUUGAACCACUCGGAAUACUAAGGAUACUAGGGUCGUUCCUGUCUAUCAAUAUCCUGCCAAUGCCAUGUCUUUGACAUGGACUUACAUGAAUUAUUCAUGUCUCCAAUGCCAUAUAUAAUAUGGACUUACAUGGCUCAAUCCUGUCUCCAAAGCCAUAUUUCUAAUAUGGACUUACAUGGCUCAUUUCUGUUCUGUCCUGUCAACUCUAAUAUCCUAACAUUCCUAGGGUUCAACCGGGGCUUUCUAACACUUUUCCUCUGUCACUCCACCUUAAAUUCGACUUUACAUAUUUUCAUAACAUAAGUAUAUAAAUGCUGGAAAUUGACAAUAAUAAUGUAAAAUAAAAGAAUAUUGCAUUUAUUUACUGUAACUUACCUUGAUACAAAAUGUGACUAAACUUUACAAUUUAGUCCUUUACUUUUUCUUUUCCCCGAUCUACUCCCGAAUUUCGUUCUUCUUGAUCUAUAAUAGCAAAUUUAACUUAUUUAAUAUUCACAUUUAUUAAAACAGUCCUUGACCCAAACUUUUGCAAAAUUAUAUUUUUACCCCUAAACUUUCACAUAUUUGCACUUUUGCCCCAAGGCUCGUAAAUUAAACUUCAUCCUAUUUUCUUAUGUUUUAUGACAUGCUGAUCAUUUUUCCCUUCUAUGGCAAUAUCAAAAUCACACUCUAACAUAUACUUAUGACUAUUGGUAUUUUUUUCCAAUUUAAGCCCUUUUACUCGUUUUCACUUAAAACCGAGUAGCAUAAGUUGUUUAACAUAAUUUAAAACCUCAUAUUCUAUCAUAAGACACCAAAAUACACAAAUUUCAGCCAUGGGUAUUUUUCCAAAUAUGAACCCUAGGCUGAAUUAUUGCUAGAAUAAGCUUAAUCAAGUUACCGGGACUCCAAAAACGUAAAGAUCAUUAAAAACGGGGCUUGGAAUCACUUACUAUGAAGCUUGAAAGUUGAAGAAACCCCAGCUAUGGAGGAGAGCAAAAAUCGGCAGAAACUAAUUGAGAAGAUGACCAUUUUUGUGUUAUUUUUCCCUAUUUAAUUCAUUUAAUAUCCAAAUGACCAAAUUACCCCUCCUUACUAAACUUUCAAAAAUUCCUUCCAUGUCCUAAUUUUUGUCCAUGAACUUAAAAUUGGUCAAAUUGUUAUUUAAACCCUCCUAAUUAAUAUUCCAAAGUAAUUUCAUACUAAAAACUUCUAGAAUGCAAGUUUUGCAAAUUAUUCAAUUUAGUCCCUAACCUCAACUUAAGCAGUUUAUGCAUGGAAUUUCAUCACGAAAUUUUCACACAAUCAUGCAAUCAUACCAUGAACCUUAAAAUAAUAGUAAAAUAAUUUUUUCUACCUCGGAUUUUUGGUUUCGCAACCACUAUUCCGUUUAGGCCCUAUUUUGGGAUGUUACAGAAAUAACCCAAAAUAAGGUUGUCUUAAUAAUGCAAUAAAAAACUGAAAACCUUAAUUUUUUUUGACUAUUUCUUUUUUUGUUCCAAAACCAUAUAUAUCGAAACCAAAUAGAAAUAAUGUAGUGGUUCAAAGCUAAAUAAUUAACAAGCACAUGUAUUCAUAAUUUUGGCAUGGAUAAAAACACCAAAGCAAUUCACACAUAUACAUGUAUUCAUAAUCAAAUAGAAAAACUUACCUGAAUUUACCAUGUAAAUCUAAAGUUGUAUUUAUGAUUAAACAGAUAUUCACAUAAAUACUUGAAAAAUAUUUUCAAGCCAAUAAAUCUCAAAAACAAAAUCAUAAUAGUUGGCAUAUCCCACAAUUCAUACAAUAAACCAUAUCAUCAUAAUCUAACCAAAUAUUUGGAACCAUAAGAUGCCAAAACCUAAAAUUAUAGAACCAAACUUAAAACCAAAUUAUUUAAAUAUGAAUAUAGUUGACAUGAAUUUGCACCAAAGCACCCGUAGAAUUGAAUAUAUAACCAUAGCAAUAAUAAUAAUAAUAAUAAUAAUAAUAAUAAUAAUAACAAUUUCAACAAUAUCCAUCAUAACUUAAUUUCACCAAUUAAACUAUAAAAGAUAUCUUACUGAAUAAUGGUUAUAAACACCUAUUCAUGCCAACUAUAAUCAUGCAUUAAUCCUCCAAAUCAUUUAUAUGCAUAUAAUAUAUAUACACACAAUAUAUACACACAAUUAUAUCAUUUAUAUAAUAAAAAAAUAAUACUGGUUUGUCUUACAUAUUUCAUGUAAACUAAAAUUUAUAUUAAUGACUAAAGACAUUAACAUAAAACUCAUUUAUACGCACAAAUACUUAAAAAAAACCAUAACCACCAAAUAUAAAAGAAUCCCAAAUUGUAUAAAAGCCUUCAUAUGCACAACCACUUUUGAAAAUUCAUAGCCACCAUAUUAAAAAAAAUCUCAAACAUUUUAAUUUUAGUCGAGUUCUAUAAGGACUAAAACUUAUAUAAAAUAAUUAUAGCAGGAACCAAAAGUAAUCAUUUGUAUAUAUGAAUUGAAUUCAAAGGUGAAUAUAAUUCAUCAUGAAUUAAGACAAAAGAUGAUAUUUUCAUAUACAUUCAACCACAAAUAAAAAAUUUAAAACAAAUAGUGUGAAAAAAAAACAUCUUAACAACUUUCAUUUAUUCAUUAUUAAGCAUAAUCAUGAGCAAAAGCAUAAUAUACAAAUAGCAAACUAGAUUUUAACCUCAGGCAGCUUGUAUUUUGCGUUGUUUUAUAUGCGCAUACAUGCUAAAACAAGCAAAAUAAUUGACAUACACUACAGCAAAAUUGACUUUUAGCGGCGUUUUUUUAGGCUUUUAGCGGCGCUUUUAAGCGCCACUAAAACUACUCGCGGCGUUUUUACAAGCGCCGCAAAAAACGCCUUUAUAGAUGGCACCACUAAAUUUUGCGGCAUUUAUUUGAAAAAAACGCCGCUAAAGGUCAGGACCUUUAGCGGCGCUUUUCCCACAAACGCCGCUAAAGGUCAUAAAAAUUAAAAAAAUAUAUAUUAUAAAAUAUUGUAAAAGUCCUGAAAAAUAUAAAAAAAUUAAAAUUCAUUAUCAAAAUAUUGAGAAGAAGAAUAAUCUAUGAUAUAAAUACAUCCCGCCAAACAAAAUACCGCACUUAUACACCAGAAAUCUAACAAAAUACAAAUAGAACAAAAUAAGGAUGAAUGAAAGACAUUAAUGAUAUAUAAAAUCAUUGUUUCUAAUGCAUAUGUAGAAAUCAAGCCAUGGUGUGCACCAAGGAUCCGGCUCUCGUAAUAGCACCAGGCCUUGAUCAAAAUAUUACUGCGUUUGAAAAUAUGAUCUUUUCCAAUUAGCUGGUCAACCUGAAAAACAAACAGUUCAAAAGAAGUCAUGUGUCAAUUAAACUUGCCACCCUUGAUAUUGCUAUAGGAAUUAAUGCAUGGAGAGUGAUGGAGAUGGGAUUGGGGAUUCCUCAAGGCUGCAGCAGUAAACUUAAGCAACAGUGUGGGAAAAGGUGAAAUGAGAGAUUUUAGACUAAAUCCAAAGCAUUAAUUUCUAUUAAAUGAAAACAAACAAACAAAUAUAAUUGUUAAAGAAACAUUAAUUUCUCUUAAAUCCGGUAAAAUCUUAAAGGAUUUAGAAAUGAAUGAAAUAUAAGGGGGAAAAGAAAGAGGAAAAGCUAAAAUUCACUCUGUCGGUUAGUAGUGAUAUGGAAGACAAAAAGGAUAAAACACCACAUACCAAACGAAGAUCAUAAAACUACUAAGAAUUUAAUGCCAGAAAAUGAAACAAUGUACCAUUUAGAAUUAUACUUUUGAAUCAUCUUUUGCAUCAAGUGAUUUAUAUGAAUUAUGAUUACCACAUCCACAAUGUUUGGAAUGGAAACGGAUUCUAAACAUAUAAAUGCUGGAUAGGAUUAGAUGAUACCUUCUCCAGAAAGCAAAGUGCAGAUAGACCAGCCGUUUGAUUGAAAGAGAUGUCCACCGGUAUGUCAUUCACAGUGCAUUUCACUAUUUUAACCUGAAAUCAAAUUCCAAAAUAACCGAAAUGAGCUCAAGAUGAUUUUAAGCUAUAUUUGCUGCUUACGUACAUAUACUAAUAUGCAAUAAAUACCAUUUAACUGCACGGGAACAACGACAAAGAUGCAGCUGAAAAUUUAAUAUCAGCAUAAUAGCACAAAUAGAAGUUGUUGCCAAGUGUCCAACAGCAUAUGACUUAUGUGGUUUUAUUCAAUAUCAGUUAAGCACCUAGUCGUUUGCUACCCUAAUUUCCGUUAUCUACAUUACAGGAACGUCUUUUAAAUUUUUACACGUGACAGAAAGUUAUAAAGGGUGCUACCUUAAUCGAUUAGCAUUGGGAUGCAGUUUCGAUGCUAUGUCCAAUAAAAGCGAAGUUAAGGAAAGAAAUAAAUCAGAUGAAAAACACAAUCCUUUAAUUAAAUAAUAUUUAAAUAAUUAUUAUAUUUAUAAUAAUAUUUAAAUAAAUUAAUCCAAAUUAUAUAAUUUAAAAAAUUGUGUAUAAAAAGUUGAAAACCAUAUAAAAUGAAAUGUUAAUUUUGUUCCAUGAAAAAAUAAAAAUAAAAAUAAUACACGUAAUGCAUAUAUUCAAAAAUGAAAUACAUGAGAAAAACUUCAAAACAAAAAUUAAUGACAAAAAAAAUCAUAAUAUUUAGUCAUGUAUAAUACACAGAAGUUUAUUACUGAAAAAUGAAAAAGCAUAAUACACAGAAGUUCUCACUUCAUAUAUCAUCAAACUAUAGAUGGUUAAGAAUGUCAGUGUCAAAUCAAGAAGGAAAAACUAAUAUAUUAAGAACUAAAACUCUACAAAAUUAAGCUUAGUUAAAAGUAGACAUGGUUGAUAGCAGAAGAUGAUGUAACAUAAGUCACAAACUAUACACUGUUUCUUAACUUUGUCAUAAAUAUUAGCACAAAAGAAAAAAGGGAAAUGCAGUUAAACAACUUGCUAUUUACAUUCAAAUUUAAAGACCCAUACGAUAGAGUCUAAAAUAGCAAGCAUACCCAACUCUCCUUUCCUGAAAGGUUCUAAACAAUUCAUUUUCUUCUACUUCGAACCCCACACCUUUGUCCAAAACAGGGACUGGAAUAACAUUUAGCCCAUACACAAGAAUUGAUCUAAAUUCAUGCUAAUAACAUCAUCAAGAGAUCAAGGGUGCCAAUUUCAAAGUGAAUAAAAGUUCCAACAUACCACUGCCAGUUGUUCUGCCAUGAAAUGGUUCACUUCCUCAAAGCUAAAGUUUCUUGUCUCAUACUCUCUUCCUGCCAAUAUUAUCAAGACUGAUCAAACGAACAAAUCCAACAUUUAAAUUUAUUUCAUUGGUAUUAUCAGAAGAAAGGCAUUGUGUACCAAUGAGUUUGAUAACAACAUUAGCCUUUGCUAUCACAGCCUUGAUUGAAUUUUCAUCCCUUGGAUCGUAUUUCAUUGGCACUAUCUAAUAAAGAGAAAUAUCAAAUUAAAACCAAAUAAAACACAAUAAGCACUUCAAUAUGAAUUCAAAGAAAGAAGGGGAAAAACGCAAUUCCAUAAGGUAUGCAACCUGUCCUAAAUCUCCCAUCAACUUGAGAUGACGAGGGUUAUCCUCGGAACCUCUGAAGGGAACUAACACCUGAGAUCCCAUUUUAGCUAAAAUAAAAAGAAAAAAAAUCAGUAUACACAAAUAAACCUUAAAACAACAACAACAAUAGCAGCAAGCUCUCUGUAAUGUACACAUUAAGGCAAAACAAUGUACAAUUAUAACUACAAGAUUAAGUUUAAAUUACCCAGUUAUUGUACAAGAUAACAACCAAGGAAUCCAGUAGCGUCGAAAACAGUAGCUAUAAUGCCACUGCAGGGGAAGGGAAAAUCAUUUGACAUUCAAAGAGAAAACUUUUAAAGAUAAAAGUUCAAAUCCCAAAAAAAGGACCUGACGGAAGAUCGGCCAUCGGUGCCCUUGCGAACGAGGUGCCCAUGCCCUUGUGGGAAGCCAGUGUAGAUCCGUAUCGCUGAUGAUCACCUCCAUAGUCUGAAAAGGAAAAUCGAUAGUAAAUGAUUUAUAACACUUCGAUAAAAGGUAAAAGAAAAAAAACCCAUCAAUUUGUUGCAAAUGUUAAACACCAUUAGAAAGAAGAAGAAAAGAUAAAUUGGAGAAAAUAAAAAGAGGGAAUGGAAAUGUUACAGUGAUCGGAGAGAGGGUAAAUAGACUUGAUAGAAGAGAUUGAAGCAGUUGGCCUCAGAGAUUGGAAUAGUUAAAACAAUUGAAGACUCAGGGAUGGAAUUAGGACUCGGCGGAAACGAUGGCAGUGGCAGUGGCAGUGGCGUUUACCGUCUGGACGCUUGCACUUAUGCUUCUCGAAAUCAAAGACUGAAUAAGGAUUAAGAAAAGUUCUGCAGAGAAAAAUCUAGGGUUCCAAAUUUGGGCGUUUAAGAAUCGAGGUUGAGGUAGAAAAAAUGGCAAUGGGCAUGGAGUUAAAAGUUCUGAAUGAGCAAAAGAGUAGUUAAAUUUUAUUUGGGGGAUUUAGGAUGAGAAGAAGAGGGAGUAACGAGCGGGUAAGCAAAAGUCCUUUUUUGAGUGAGCGGGAUUUUGAUUUUUUUGGGUAAAAAAAUGGCUUUUUGUGGUGUUCUUAAAAAAAAAGCCACUACGCCACUAUAGCUUAUUUUUUAUGCCAUUAUUGCUUAAUUUUAAUUUUUUUUCAUAUUUAACAUAUUUUUUCUAUUUUUUUUCAAAAUUUUUGUGUUGAGAUUAUCAUUUUUUGGAAUUUUUUUAAUUUUGAAUAUUGAAUUUUUUAACUGAAAUAUGGAAUAAAAUAUUAAAUUUUAAAAUUUUAAGUUCCUUAUUUUUUAAUUUUUAAUUUUUUAUUUUAAAUUUUAAAUUUUAAAUUUUUUUGAAUAUUUUUAUAAUUUUUAAACUAUCAUAUAAAAUACAAAAGAAAACUUUAACAGAAAUAAAAUGAAAUCGAUGAAUUAAAAAAAUAUAAAAUGACACAGCAAUACAAACAUUAUUCUUUUAAGUAUGGUCCACAUUAGUUGUUUAGAUUUUUAUAUAAAUGACAUUUAAUUUUGAUAGAGAUACAUCUCAGAAUUAUAUAUGAAUUUCGAUUUAAUGUGUAAUUGUAGACGUGAAAUUCUAAUUGUGGUUUAAAUGUAUAGUCGAAACUUUAAUUUUGAUUUAAUCAUACACAUUUUAAAAAAUAAAUACAUCAAAAUAUUUUUAUAUUGAAUAUAUAUAAAAAUUUAUGUAUGCAAUAUAUAAAUAUAAAAUGAUAUUAUAUUAAUAAUUGUGUUAAUAAUUCACAAGAACUGGAUCAAAUUAAAGUUCAUGUAUACAACUGCACACUAAAUCCUAAACCCUAAACCCUAAAUCAUAAACUUUAAAAUAGUAACUCAUAAACAUUAAACCCUUAACCAUAUACCCUAAACUAUAAUGAUAAUUAAUUUAAUAUUUUAAAAUUAAUAUUAUCUCUUUUACAAUUAUAUAAGAAAAUAUUUAUCAUAUAAAUUAAAAAACACUAAUUAAUCUAAUCUCUAAUCUCUAAACCCUAAACCCUAAAACAUAAACAAUUAACCUUGAACCCCUAACCCUUAACCCCCGACCCCUAAGCCUUAAACCCCUAAAGCUCAAACCCCAACCCUUAAACCAUAAACCAUAAACCAUAAUCCCUAAACCCAUAAUCCAUAAACUUUAAAAUAGUAACUCAUAAACCUUAAACCCUUAACCAUAUACCCUAAAUCAUAAACCCUAAACUAUAAUGAUAAUUAAUUCAAUAUUUUAAAAUUAAUACUAUCUCUUUUACAAUUAUAUAAGAAAAUAUUAACAUAUAAAUUAAAAAACAAUCAGUCAUAUACCAAAAAUCUUUAAAAUUAUUUUAAAUAAUAGUAUUUUAAUUUUUUUCAUUUUUAACAAAUACUUUUACUUUCAAAUUUUUUUUACGUGUCAUUAUUUUUUUCUGAAAAAUUUAAAUAUUCAAUUAAAAAUAAAUUGUAUUAAAAUGAACCACUUAAAUUAAAUAGAUAGAUGAAAUGUUUUUUGCGGCGUUUUUCAAAAAGCGCCGCUAAUACUCGAUAUAUAAAACAACGGUGUUUUGCAAAACUUUUUGCGGCGCAGUUGGCAUAAUUUUUUGCGGCGUUUUUUUAAAAAGCGUUGCUAAAGGUUACCUAUAGCAGCGUUUUUUAAAAAGCGCUGCUAAUGCUUAUCUUUAGAGGCGUUUUUCAAAAGCGCCGCUAAAGCCGCGGCAGUUUAGCAUAAUUUUUUGCGGCGUUUUUUUAAAAAGUGCCGCUAAAGGUGACCUAUAGCGGCGUUUUUUAAAAUGCGCCGUUAAUGCUUGAUCUUUAGCGGCAUUUUUCAAAAAGCGCUGCUAAAAACCUAUUUUGGUGAAGUGAUAAUGCCAUAAAAAUUAAUCUAAAAUGAAUUAUUAGAUUUGCAGAAUUAAUCUAAAAAUUAUGAAUCUAGAUUUACAUAUAAUAAAUCAAGAUUAUCAAGAAUGUUAUAUUAUGCAAUUGCAAUUAAAACAUUCUAAACAAGAAAAUCUUAAAAGAUCAAAACCAUAUUUAAUCCAAGAUUCAUUGUUGAAUGGAAAUCAAAUAAAAAAUAACCCUAAGAAGAUUGAAUCAUAACUAUCCAAAACCUAAAAAAUAUUUACAAGAAUUUCAAAGAUUCAACAUAGAAAUAUCAAAUCUAUAAGAUCUAAAAAACGAAUCAAUCCAAAAUAAUAGAGAAUUAAUUCAUUCCAAAAAGAAUAGAAACUUAAUCAAUUUCCAAUGAUUCAACAUGACGAGGCUCGGAUGCCACUUGUUGGAUUUGUAAAAUAAAUCUGAAAUAAAACUUAAUAAACCAGGAUCUAUCAUGUCAAAUCAUCAAGAAUAAAUCAAGAAAAAAACUAGAUGCGGAAGCGUACCUGAAUCCAUAAAUUCCUUGAAGUUUUACUGGAUCUUGGGGAUUUGAUCUUCCAAAUUAGAACAUAAGAAAUUCAGAGAAUAGCUGCUCUCUUUUUCCUAAUGAUGGGAUAUUAGAAAAGAUAUCUUGUGUAUAAUUUGGGGACCAUAACCCUAAUAUUUAUAACCUUAGCAUAUUAGUUCUAAUCAAAUUCUAAUUAGCCCAUCAUUAAUCAUAAUUUGAUUAGAAUUCAAGUACUAGAGUAUCUACACAUAUUUGACCCAUCCUUUAUUUAAUAAUUGAAACCCAAUAAAAUUUUAACCAAAUUAGAUCACUCUUAAUUUGGGCUAACAUAUCAUGAUAAUAAAUAAUAACAUGUAAUUACCCUUAUUAUAUAUGUGAUGUCCAUAUUUUCCAACAAAAUAUUUUUGUAAUUUUUCGAACCGAGUUGAUGUCUGGUUAACUCGUAGCACCAACUCAACCAAGGGUUUAAAUAAUAGUAUAGGUCAUUACAUUUUAAUUAAUUUUUAGAAUAAGUAUGUUUUGGAAUUAUUUCUAAAAAUAUGUUUUUUUGAUGCACCUCAAUAGUCAAAACUAAUAACUAAUUUCCCUAAACUUUAGACCCCUAAUUUCAACAAAGUGUAUAAUUGUUGAAAUGUCCAUUUGUUGGUCUAAGCGGCAAAUGCAAAGCACCAAGAUCAUUUUUUAUGCACUAAAUCAUCCACAGUGUUAUUAUAUUGGUUUACCUCAAAUAAAACAUUUUUUACUGAUCCCCAUUGUUUCUACUACAAUAGAAAAUCUUACACAUGGCCCUUAACCUAACAUUAGACAACUCGAUGGUUUUCGUUAAUCAUCGUGCUUAAACAAACUCAUAAAAAGUUUACAUGUAUAAUUGAGAAACCUUAACCCAUCUUCUUAAACUAUAAAUCCCCAGAGUCGUGGGUUGAGUAAGCUAGAAACCAUGGGGGAUUUUUUUUGAACUUGGCAUCUUUUUCAAAUAACAGAAAAACCCUAACUUAUUUUCCUAAACCUUAACCCCAAAAGUUUAAUCCCCUAACAAAACCUUAGACACUAAAUAAAACAUUUAAUAAAAUCCCAUCAAAUUCUUUCUUCUAAGGGUUUUUAUGCAUCUCUAACUUCAAUAAAAAGUAACCUCAACUCUCAUAUUCAAAUGCCUUUUGUGAUAAUGGAUUUCCUCAAGUGUUGGAGUGCCAAUUGAGUAUGAAAGCUUCUUUUAAACUAACUUUAAAUAGGCUAUAGGGUUUAUGAUAAACCUUGUUUAUGAUUAGUAUGAAAGAUUUCACUAUAUCAAAACAAUGUUUCAACACUUGUGGGAAACCAUGAUCUAAAUCAAGAGAGUUCAAGUUUUCCUUGAUUGAAGUUAGAUUUUGGUCGAAAUCAUUUAUCUAAAAGUGAUAGUAGCCAGAAUAAGUUGGAGGAAAAUAAUUUUAAAAGACUUUAUCAAAAUUUUAAUUUAAGGUUUAAGGUUUGAGGGAAAAUGGUAAAUAUUUAAGGGUUAAAAGAUUUUGGUUUGGGGCUAGAAGGAAAAGGUUAAGGUUCAACUCCUGUUCAUUAGGUAAACUGACUACAAUCUUGACACCCAUGGGUUGUUCAGCUUUAGUCAUAAUAAAAUGCAAACAAAUACAUAACAAACAAUUGUUCAUCUUUCAAAAUCAAAGCUAACCACUAUUUGAAGAUGUUGGGUCUAGUACCCUAAAUCUAGUAUAUUCAUUUUGUAUAGUUGUAUUUUUUGAGAAAAUUGGUUUAAUAAAAAUAUCAAUUGAUUACAUUAAUAGCCUUUGUCUAUUAUCCUCAAUGAUUUUGUAUGCAAAGUAAAAUGGAAAUAAAAAUUGGCUCACUAGUUAUCUAACAUUUAACUAAUACUAAAUCGUAUUACGUGGUAAGAUAGUAAUACAGAAAGACAACUUGUAUUAGUAGAAAAACCUAAAUAAGUCCUUAGUCUAAUUGUAAAUGAGCAAACCGGUUUAAAGACUUAAGUCGUCUAGUAAGUCCAAUUAGGGAGAUGCUUUGUCUUGAGCAUCAGAAUGAAGGACUCCUAGAAGAUAGAGACAUAGAUGUCACUGAAUAGACUGACAAUAUAUUGGACAGGACCUAAGUAGGAUAGAUCCUAGAUUAAUUUAUGAAUUUAUUCACUUGAGACAUUCAUAGUGUGGCAUACCUUAAUCUUGAUUAGAUGAUGGACUAUGCAUGUGUGAAUCGUAUACUUUGAUGGAAGUAAAAGCUUGAAUUCAAAUAAAUAAGGAACCGAAAAUUGGUAUAUUGCGUAUACGGCUUCUACAACAUAUAGCAUCAUUCACAAUAGUGGAAUUCAUAGCCCAAAUAAUAGGUAAAUGAUAUCCUCUCAUUGGUAUUACAUGAUAUAUGAAAAGGAAACGUGGCCACGAGUCAUUUGUCUUUGUGAUAAAUGACUUGAUUACUAUUUAAUAGUACUAGGGUGUAAUACCCCUAACCCCUAUCUGUCGCUGAAACAGGGUCACAGAGUAUUACCAGAGUUUACAGAUCAAUUACAAAAAAUUUCAUAUCAUUUACUAUUAAUAUCUGAAAUUUAUCAUAUCAUCUCUUAAAUGGGUCCUCGAGGCCCAAAAUACACGUUAGAAUCAAAUCAAGACUAAAUUGGAAACUCAAAAAAAUUUUCGUGAAAUUUUAAAAUUUAUCUUACGUACAAGGGACACAGCCUGUGUGGUCAGGCCAUGUGGCUCACAUGGCCAGGUGACACGCCUAUUUCUUAGGCCGUGUGGGUAUUCAAUGUGAAACACACGACUGUGUCCCAGCCCGUGUUCAAAUUAGGGUAGCUACUGAUGAUGAUGAUUUACUUAACUAACUAAAUUACGACAAAGGCAAGCGCACCUAUCGAGUAGUAGUACAGCUAUGGUGAGUCGGGGAUAUCAUAUCCACAAGGACUAAAAUUACUAGUAAUUACCUUUUUUCUAUUAUUUAGCCUAUAAAUUGAAGAAGUUUGUUUUAAAUCUAAAAUUAUCUAAACUAAUUAUUAAGAACUCGACAGAGAAUAAAGUAUGAAAAUAAUCCAAUUGACCAAUGAGAGAGACAAUACCCAGGAAAGAAUCCACUUAGACUUCACUUAUUAUUCUGAAUCUGAAUUAAACGAUUUAUUCACUUGCCUUGAUCCGUAAAAAUCCCUAAAUUAUAUUAAUAUUUAUUUCGAGAGUAAAAAUAACUGCCUUUAGGUUGAUUAAUUGAAAUCUCUUUCUAAUUAAAACCUCUAUUGUCGCAUUAACUCGAUCUAUGGAUUCCCCUAUUAGAUUUGACUCUAAUCCGGUAGAUUUAUGUCAUCCUAUUUCUAGGAUUGCAUGCAACUCCACUCAAUUAUGUCAGAUCUACUCUUAAACAGGGACUUUUGCUCCACUGAAUUAAGCACAUCAAUCAUGAAUUAAUAUCCUGAAAACAUUAAAACAUGGAAUAAGUACACAUAAUUGAGAUCAAGAAAUCAAUUAUUUAUCAUGUAAUUCAAAAAAUUAAAUAACAAGAUCCGUCAUAGGUUUCAUCUUCCCUAGGUAUUUAGGGAAUUUAGUUCAUACUUUGGGAGGAAAACAUUUCAAAUUUAGAAAAACUACAAAACAUAAAGAAACCCAAAAACUUCUUGAGAAGUUGACUGGGGAUCUUCAAUCUUGAAGGAGAUCUUGCUUCUGAGUUGAUUCCAAGGGUGUUCUUCGAGUAAUUUCUUCGUUCUUCUCUGUGUUCCCCCUUUAGGUCCUCUUUUAGUGUGUAAAUAGACUUUAAAAUGCUCAAAAUCCUUAAAAAUUGGCUUUUUCUUCGUGUUUGGGAAACAAGGAGUGAUAUUGACACAGGCUGGAACAUGGGCAUGUGGUCAGCCCGUGUGAUGUGCUUAGUCUGUGUGGGAAUGACCAGGCCGUGUAGAUCCUGAAAGUAGCUCGUUUUGUCUGAUUUUGUCCUAUUUUCUGCUCCUUUUGCCCCCCUAUGCUCUUCUAAGUAUAAAAACAUGAAAUUAAAGGAUUAAGAGCAUCAAAUUCACUAAAUUAUAUAAUAAAUCAUCCAAAAACAUGCCAAGCAUGGGAUUAGAACAUGUUACUUUUAUGGUUUAUCAACUAACUUGGAUCACACGGCCAGCCACACGCCUGUGUUCUAGGCCGUGUGGACAAUUUAAUUUUCAAAAAUAGGUGCAAGAUUCACACGGCCAAGACACAUGCCCAUGUGUUGGCCUUGUGUUUUACACGGUUGAGACACACGCUCGUGUCUCUGUCCGUGUGAUCAAUUCUGAGCAUUUUGUUUCUAAAAUUGUAAGAUGUAGGGGACACACUAUCAAACCACAUGCACAUACAUAUUGUAACGCCCCAAUUUUCUGGAAUUCUGUGAAUGUUGGCAUAGGUUUAAUUAUGUUUUUGGGCCUCUAGAAGGCCCAAGCUUAGGAUAGAACCCGGUAAUUUUAGUUAAUUUUUGUUCCAUAAGAAAAAGGGAGUGAAAUUAUGAAAUAGGACCUAUGUGAAAAUGUUUGAAAAUGCUAUAGGCUAAUUUGUAGUGGCCAAAUAAAUACGAGUGCAAAAUAGGAGGAUUUGCAUGUCAAACCUCCCAUUUUACAUGUAGUGGCUGGUCAUCAUGUUGUUGUAGACAAAAUGUGCACUUGAUAUCCAUAAUUUAUGGUACAAAUUGAUACAAAUUGAUAAUGGGUUAGGUAAAUGUUUCAUGAUAAUGGGUUAGGUAAAUGUUUCAUGAUAAUGGGUUAGGUAAAUGUUCCAUGAUAAUGGGUUAGGUAAAUGUUCCAUGAUGGGAAUUUCAUGUCUUUUGUGUUAAAGAAUUAAAUGGAUGAAAUAUGAAAUUUUAUUAAAAGAAAAAGGGGUGAAAAGAACAAAGUUUUGGUCCAUCUUUGUUCAUCAUAGCCGAAAGUUAGAGAAGAGAAAGGAGAGGAGAAAGUUCUUGAAUGUUCGGUCACUUGGGGAAGAAAAUUGAAGGUAAGUUCAUGGUAGUUUGCUUCUAUUUUGAGGUUCAUGAGUUCUUCUUGAUUCUACCUUAACUCUUGAAGCAUAUUUUGGUUUUUAGUUGUGUUGUGAGCAUUUAGUCAUGAAUUAAAAUGAAGGAAAUGGUUGUUGUUUCAUGUUCUUUUGAUGAAAAAUGAAAGAUAGGUGAAGUUGAGCCAAACAAAUGAGCAUGCAUGUGCCUUAGAUGCUAAAGGGAAAAAUCGGCUAACAUGUUGUGCUUUAAAAUGAUGAAAUGGAGAUUAUACUUAAGUAAAAUCAUAGAUAUGUGAUGAUUGAUUGGUGAUAUACAUGUUUAAAGAACAUGCAUGCAAGGUAUGUGUGAAAGAGUGAUUUGGUAAUAAAUCUGCUUGGGACAGCAACAGUAACGUGACUUUGGAAAAUCACCAUAAAUUGUGGGAGAUGAAUUAGAAGCUGAAUAAAUUAUGUAAUUAAAGCUUAUUGAGUCUAGUUUCUAAUGAAAUAAACAAGAACAUAUUUUGAAUUAUGUACAAUGAGAAAUUUGAUUCGUAAUGAAGAGUGGUCAGAUUAGUUAAACAGUGAAACAUGGGAAACUUUGAGAAAAAUCUGGUAUUGAUUGGCUAAACCAAAAAUUCUAAAAAUUUUAUGGAUAGAAGAUAUAUGAGUCGAUUUUCAGGGAAAAUUAACGGCACUUGAUUUGGAUUUUCGUAGCUCCAGUUAUAAAUGAUUUAGUGACUGUUGCUCAGGGAGGCAGCUUGCAGUGAAAUUAUGAUUAUGUGGUAAACACUGACAAAAAUUUGUUAAUGAGUUGCUUAUUGAUUUCUUAUAAGCUUACUCUGAUCUGUAGGUGUGGUUGGCCGAAUAUUGUAAGGGGUUAAUAUGUAGUUCGUAUUUGAAUAGUUAGAUUAACGUGUUAGUAAUCCAAUUGUAGGCGGUUCGUGUGUGGAUCUCGUCAGCAUAUCGUCGCAAACAGGUGUGUAACUAACACCCUCUUAUAGACUAGAUCGGCACAAGCCGAAAAGCCGAAAUGCCGAAAAGCCAGUAUUUUGAGAUCUUGCGAGUGUGUGAAUGCUCAUGAGAUUAAUAGUUUGAUGUAUAUGGUAAAUUAAAGUGAUAAGACUGCAGAGUGCGCGAUUCUGUGCAUUUCGAUAUUUUUGGGCUUAAUGGGCCAAAAACGGGAUAAUGGGCCAACGAGCCCAAAUUGGUAAGAAAAUGCGGUAAAUGUUUCUGAUUGUAUGUAAAUGGCUAUGUUAUGUAUGAAAACCUCAAGAAUAGUUAAAUUACUUGAAUACCCCUAUGUAUGCAAAAUUACCAUUAUACCCCUAGGGUUACUUUUGACUGAAAAGCAUGACGAUCUGAUUUUGUAUGAUGUAUGCCAUGAUUAUAUAUCUGUUGCAUGGGGACUUGGGUUAUACUAUGGAGGAAGUGUCCUGGUGGCUAUGCCACAAUUAUCUGAUCUGGUGGCUCUGCCGCAUAUAUCUGUCCUGGUGGUUAUGCCACAAUUAUCUGAUCUGGUGGCUCUGCCACAUAUAUCUGUUCUGGUGGCUCUGCCACAAUAUCUGUAUCUGGUGACUUCGUCACAAUAUCUGGCAGCCUCGCUGCGAUUUCUGUGGUGUGUAGCGGUUGGGUGGGUCGAGUAGUCUCCCCACAUGGUGUAAGGCUGGUACCGGGGUGUUAUGGAUGAAUCUGGGUUGGGUUUCUGCAUAAACAUGUAAUAUCUGUUCUGUUCUGUUAUGGGCCUAUGGGCUUUAUUUUGAAUUCUGUUCUGGGCUAAGGCCAACUUAUUCUGUUUCUGUGGUUUGAGCUGAUAUAGGCUAUGGUUGGGUUAAUUUACACACUGAGUUUCCCCAAACUCAUCCCUUUUAUUUUCAUCCACGCAGGUAAUCCCCAACCAUAGUGGGCUUGGAGCUGUGAGGGAAUUCGGAGUGGCCACCCAUUCUGAAAGUUUGAUUUUUUUCUGGUGAACUGGAUAUCCUUUUAUUUUCGUUUGAGGUUUUGGGUUUUUAAAUGUAAUAAGGCCGCUUAAUUAUUUUUGAUGGUUUUAAUAUGUGUUACUAAGAUAAGUAUUACUUAUUUUAAUUGUUGAAAUUGGAAAGCUUUAGGGCGCGUUUUCAAAUACAACAAUUGAUUUCAAAAUACCAUGACAACAAGCAAAGCUUCCACAAUGAAAGUAUUUUCCAAAAUUAAUCACUUUUCCUAAAAAAGACUUAAUCAAAUCAGUUACCUAGAAAUAGACAUGACGUUAAGUUGUGGCAAUGGUGGCAUGCAUGUCUAGGAUUGGAUCCGAAGGGAGCUUGGUACUUAAACAGUCUGAUGGACUCACCUCCUCUUUUCCGGUUUCCUACCUGGUGCACAGCUUCCAUUCACUUUAACCUAUAAUGAAAUUAUCUUUUAAAACACUAAGUAAGUUUUUCUGGAUCAACAAUAUAAAAUGUUUUGAACGCUUCGAUGUGGCAUGUCGGAUCCAGCCAUAACGUCUGGUUGGGUUUUGGGGUGUUACACAUAUGGCCGCGAGUCACACACGGUUGAGAUACACGCCCAUGUGCCUACCCAUGUGGACAAAAUAAGGCCAUUUCCAAGCCUUAUUUCUCACCUAAAUUUUGCCUUGUACGUACAUUAAUACUUGCAUACAUAUACCAACCAAUUCAAGAUGUUAAAACCAAGCCAACAUUAACAUUAUAUUUGAUAAAUCAUCACAUGUAUUCAAACUUAAAUUUUGAAAGACAUAUAUGUUUACCAUAAUUCAAUCAAAUCAUACCAAGCACACAUAUUUUAACCAUAUUAUAACCUCAAGUAUAUAUUCACUAAAUAUAUCAUUAUUAGCCAUUCCAAUGGCUAGAUUACAAACAACCAUUUACAUGAAAACAUUUAUCAAGUUAGCCUAUACAUGCCAUUGUACCAAAAUAAGUUUGCUAUUUAUACCAAACGUGCUGAAGGAUAGUGUGAUGAUGUUUCGAUCGAUUCCAACCUUUACGAGCUUUCGAGUACUAUAAAAUAGAGAAAAGAAAAAAAUGUAAGCAUUUAAUGCUUAGUAAGUUCGCAUAACAAGAAUUUAACUCACCAUACAUUUACAUUUAAGGUAAGCAUAUAAGAUGCUUCCAAGCAAUUUGGCUAAUUGUAAUAGCCCGAUUUUGGGCCUCGAAACAGUGGUUCCGAAACCACUAUUUCAGGGUCGAAGAAAUUAUUUUAAAUAUUAUUUUAUGUGUUAUAGCAUGAUUAUAUGAGUGCAUAAACAUUUUGGUGAAUUAAUUUUAGCGAUUGUGAGCUUAAUUUUGAAAAAUGACUAAAUCGCAUAAAGGGAAAAAUUUGUGAUUUUCUAGCUAAAUAUGUUAAAUUGCUAGAGAACCAUAAUUGGGGGUUUUUAAAGUGCAAAUAGACCCCUUUCACAAGCUUGGCCGACCAUAGAGACAAAUAGGAGUUGAGAAGUCAAAGUUAGGUGCCUUUUUUUGGUAAGAAAUAAAACAAAAAGAAAAAGUUGUCAUCCUUUCAUCUUUUUUUUCUUCUUCCACCAAAAAUGGCAGCAAGGAGGGGCUUGAAAAACUCAAAAUAUCAGCCACUUAUAUUCUUUUCAAGUAAGUGAUUUAGAUGCCUAUUUUUGAUAAUUUUUGUACUUUUGGAACCCUUGUAGCAUGAACUAGCUAAUGGGGGGACUAUUUUGUAAAAUGGUUGAUAGUCUAGGGAUUUACCAUGAAAGGAUUUAUGUUGUUUUCUGAAUUUUUAUGGAAGAAAAUGAGUCUUGGGUGUCUUAUAAACAACUUUUGUGAAAGGUGUUAGCAUGAAAACACCUAAAAAGACUAUAUUGCAUAAGUUGUAAAAUAGAUGUUAUGUAUGUGAAAUAGUGGGAAAUUGGAGUUGCUAUAAGAGUAAAAAGGGUUCGGAUAAGCUUAAGAUGUGAAGAAAUUCGAUAAAAAUCAAUUUUCGGACCUAGGGGUAAAAUGGUCAUUUUACAAAAGUCUAGGGGCAAAAUGGUCAUUUUGCCCAAAUAUAGGUUAUUGAAUACCUAGAUUGAUAAAGUGAUUAAAUUUGUGAACUUGUGUUAUUUUAGAUCAAGAAAAUCGAGAUUUGGGCUUAAAUCAAGAAAGUGUGUGGUUAAAGACAAAAAGAAAAUAAUUAGCCGAAAUUACAUUUGAGGUAAGCCCGUGUGAUUAAAUGACCGUGAUAUUUAUGCCAUUGUUAUUAUACUUGAAAAUCUAUCUUGUCAUGAUUGUAUUAAAGUGUAGGUUGAUGAUAUUGUAUAUGAAAAAGUGAUGUCAAAUGUAAAUAACAUUUAUGUGUUGAUUGAAUGCUUGGAGAUUUGAUGGAAUAUGAUAUUCCAUUGAAAUGAGUAAGUUGUAUGUAAAUAAGACAACUACAUUGUUAUUAUAUGUGUUUAAAUUGAUAUAGCAUGAAUUGCUUGGUUGUGGAAAUGAUUAUGUUUGAUGAAUAUUGAGAUAGUAGAAUUCCCGUUUGAACCUUAAGACACAAUUCGGAUAUUCAUGCCAUGACAUUCGGGUUAUUUGUGAGCCAAUGUAAGACCAUGUCUGGGACAUGGAAUCGGCAUUGAGAUGAGAGCUAGUGUAAUACAUGUCUGGGACAUGCAUCGGCCUCGAGUUGUAAGCCAGUGUAAGACAUGUCUGGGACAUGUAUUGGCUACGAGAUGUGUCAGUGUAAGACCAUGUCUGGGACAUGGCAUCGGCACAGAUGUGUGAGAGCUAGGGUAAGACCAUGUUUGGGACAUGGCGUCAGCCUCGAUUUCGAUAGUCAGUGUAAUACCAUGUCUGGGACAUGACAUCGACUUAAUGGAUGAGCUAGUGUAAGACCAUGUUUGGUACAUGACAUCGGCAUUAUACCCUAUGUUUGAGGCUUAGUGAAUAUCCGAUAGCUUUCCGAAUGGUUCAACGGUGAGAGUUAUGGUUUAAGCUAAAUGAGAAAGGUUAUGACCAUAUUGUGAGUGGUACAGGUACUUACAUGAAAUUGAUGGGAUGUGAAUUCAAUUCAUGUUAUAUGAUUAGUAAGAAAUGAAAAUGAGCAUGUUGAGUAAUACAGGUAUGUAUGCCAAGCUCAUGAGAAAUGAUUUCAGUUUACAAUACACCUUUAGUGAAGAUGUAAAUAGGUAAUUCAUGCUUAUGAGAAUGAUUUUGUGAUGACCUUGUGAUUAUAGGUCUAUACUUAUGAUGUAUGAAUAUGUAACCUUACCAAUGUGGUGAAAGUGAAUUAAUAUGGUGUGAUAAACUAGUAUCGUUAAUUUACACAAAAACAGUUUUGGACAGUAGCCAUAGUCCAAAUUUGAAAAUCCACAAAAAAUUGUGGAAAUUGAUUUAGAGGCUGAAUAAAAUAUGAAAUUAAAUCCUAUUGAGUCUAAUUUCACAUAGAAGAAAUGGUGUAAGUAAAAGAGUUUCAUAUUAUGAAAUAUUUAAAUUGUUGUGAGACAGAGUCAGAAUGACUUCGAAAAUCCCCUAUUCUGAUUUGAAAAAAUCAUUGAAAAUUGUAAAAAAAUAUUUAUGACUUAUAAUUUAUAUUAUUAUAAUUCUUAAUGAGUAAUUUUCAAGAUAAAUAGACGAUAACAUCAUCUUAGUCCCGUAUUAUGAGAUAAUUAAUUUUUAGUAAAGAGGGGUUAGAACUGUCAGACAACGAAAAAGGGUAACUUUGAGGAAUAAAAUAUACUAAUUGGCUAAACCAAAAAUUCUAAAAAUUUUAUGGUAAGAAGAUAUGUGAGUCUAGUUUCAGGAAAAAUUAGCAUAACUUAAUUUGGAGUUCUGUAGCUCCAGAUAUAAAUAAUUUAGUGAAUCUGACUUGAGAAAAUAGUUUGACUGGAACAUGAGUAAAAAAUGCGAAUAGGGUUGUAUUACCAUCAAAAGAAAAUUGAUAAAUUGCUUAUUAUUUUCAUACGGUCUUGCUAAGCUAUAAAGCUUACUCCCUUCCUUUCCUUUCCUUUAGUGUUUUCAGGUUAGCUCGGAGUUGGAGAUCGUCGGAGGCAGCAUCACACUAUAAAGUCGCUACCUUUGGAAUAAUGAAGUAUAUAUUAGAAAUUUCAAGUGAGUGGCUUGUAUAGAGAUGUAGUUGAUUGACAUGUAUUAUUUUUCUUUGGCCAAAUGUAUUGGUUUAAAUUGAGUUUUAUGUAUAUGGCCAUGAGAUGUGGGUCAUAUUGAUUAUGGCUUGUAAGCCUAGCUAUUUAUGUCAUGUCUAGUUUUUAUAAUGUGAUUAUGUUUGUUUGCCAUGCAUGGUUAGUAAUAUGACAUGUGUGUUGGAUGUAUGCUCUAUGACCAAUUGAGGUGUUCAUAGCCAUGUAGUAAUUGCAUGUUAUAUACACAACGUGAUAAUGAUUGAACAUUAGUGCUUGAUGGAUAAGUUGGUAACCGUAGUAUAAUGGUAAAAGUGAUCAUCAAAAUGACAAGUCUUAUGAAAGUGAAAUAAGGAAUCUAGACUUGGCAUUGCAUGAGUAUAUGCAUUACUUGUAAGAGGACAUGUUAAUGUUAAGGAUAUAUCUUAAUAAAGAAUGUUUAAUCAUUAAAAUGAUGCCAUGAUUUGCGAUUUUGAUGUACAUAAGGUUGUAAGAGAUUAUGGGUAACAUGAAAGCUUGGAAAAUAGCCGAAGUGUUGGCCAUAUGGGCUGAGACACGGCCGUGUGUCUCAACCGUGUUAGAGACACAGCCUGGAGACACGGGCGUGUGGCCCGGCCGUGUGGUUCGAUGUACAUGCUGAUGUCAUAAACAGAGAGUUACAUGGUCUGAGGACACGGGCGUGCCAAAGGUACACAGGCAUGUCCCUAUGUCCACACGGGCGUGUGACCUUGUUUUGUGGGAAAAUUUCCUAAGUUUUUUUGAAACUUUUAAAAGUUCUCGGUUUAGUCCCGAAUCAAUUCCGAUGAAUGUUUUGGGCUUCGUAGACCCAAAUAAGGGAUGACAUGCAUGUGUUUGAAAGGUUUUGAAUUAAAAGAGAUUUUAUGGCCCGAUUUUUGCAUGAAUGUAUAUGUUUAAGUCCAGUAAUGUCUCGUACCCUGUUCUGGCGUUGGACAUGGGUAAGGUGUGUUACACUAAUAGCCUAAAACACACAACUUCAUCAAACAUGUUAGUCAUUAUUCCACAUAAAUUUCAAGAAUCAAAGAUGAGCUCAUCAUAGUAUAACUUUCAUAUACAUAUGCUUUUCAUAUCAUAUUUCCAUUUAACAUGUACAUUUCCAUACACAUAUAUCUUUCAUCCCAUAUUUCAAUUUGUCAAAUAUCAUCACUUUCAUGUAUUUCAGGUAUAAACGGGUAAUAAUUCAUUUUGAACUCAUAUUUUCUCAUGUUAGGAUUUUUCCCAUUGAAUUAUUGAAAAUAUCGAUAGAUACAUAGGUAGUACAAACAAGGUGUACAAAACUGUAAUCUAUCAAAUCAUAUUCUGGGGUACCCAUUAGGGCACAUAAUUAGGAAACACUCUCUCGAGCCAUAUAAUAGGAUGCUCAUGUGAGCCAUGUAACAUGAAGCUUAUCCGGGCUAAAUCAAGAAACUCAUAAGAGUUUAGAAUAGGAAGCUCAUUGAGCUUAACAGGUAACUCUGAAAAGCUAUUAUUAGGGAACUCUGGAUAGCCAUAUAAUAGGAUGUUCAAGCGAGCCAUAUUAGAAAGCUCAAGAAGAGCCUAGAUUAGAACGCUCAUAAAGAGCUGUGUUUGUGUCCACAAUAUAUGCAGGAUCACAACCGAUCAUAUAAUAAGAUGCUCACAAAGAUUUGUGGUAUGUCCGCAACAUAUGCAGGAUCAAUACCGAUCAGGAUGCUCACAGGAACCAUGUAACGGGAAACUCGAGAGGGCUUAUAACAGGAUGCUCUUUCAAGUUAAGGUGUAUCUACAACAUAUGCAAGACCACAACCAAUCAGGAAGACUUGUAUCCAUCAAAUUCCAUCUAUUCAAGAGGGACUUAUUAUUUAUCGGGCAUAAUCGGACAUGUGAUCAAUUUCAUAUAUAAUGCAUUCAUACAAUUCACAUAUACCACACUCAAAUCAAACAUAUAUAAUACACACAAUUUAGUUACACGAACUUACCUAGAUAAACGUUCGUAUACAAAGAUCUACUAAUCUGAUACUUUUUGUUUUCCUCGAUCCAGCUCUGUACUAGGUCUAUCCGGAUCUAUAUAAAUGAAUUUAACAUCAAUUUAAUCCAUUUCAUACUCAAUUUAAUUCAAAUCAAACCCUAGGCAAAAUUACCAUUUGUGCAAUUUAAUCCAUAUUCCAAGUCUAAUCGAUUUUUACAUAUAACAUUUACAGCACAUAUAUUUCAUAAAAAUCAGAAAUUUUCCAUGGAUUUUUUAUCUUUACAAUUUAGUUCCUAAAGCAUAAGUUCAUGAAAAUUCACUUUACAAAAGUUGUUUAUCUAUCAACAACCUUUCAUUUUCUAUUAUAAAUUUCAAAAUUUCAGCAUAUUCAUCCACGGAAAAAUUUCAAUACUUUAAUAUCUUUUCAAAUUGAUUCCCAAAAUAGAUAGAUUAGGUUAUUCCGAUCUCAAAAAUAUAAAAAUUACUAAAAACGGGACAUGAUUACUUGCCUAAUUAAGCUUGCUUGAUUUUCUUUCUCUUUCUUAGGGUUUUCAUAAAAUUUGGGGAAGAAGAUGAUAUAAAAUGAUGAUAUUUGAUAUUUAUUUUAUGUAUCAUCUUUUAUUUAUUUCAAUUUCUAAUUUAGUCCUUUUUUUUCUAAUUUUCCAUGGAUGAAUCAUCAAAAAUAUCUAUUAAAUUUUUAAUGGUCUAAUUACUAUAUAAGGACCUCAAGUUUUGAAUUCCAUAACUAUUUGAUACUUAUAGCUACUAUAACUCAACUUUUGUAUUUUAUGCAAUUUGGUCCUUUCUAUUAUUAAACAUGAAAUCGAUAAAAUUUUCUUAUCAAAUUUUUCAUAAGUCUUUCCUAUCAUGAUGCAGACCAUGCAAUAAUUUUAAAAUAAAUUUUCUUUCUGACUCGGAUUUGUGGUCCCGAAACUAUUGUUCCGAUUUCAUUGAAAACGGACUGUUACAUAGGGACUGCAAACCCUAGUGUAUUUAAAUAGGGUUGUCGCCCUGUCCCCCCAAUCCUAGUUAGACUAGGAUUAUGUUUUUCUAUUGAAAUAGACUUCUAAUAAUUCAACAAGGGUUUCAUUUCUUCUCCCUAUAAAUAGAUGGAAACGGUAAGGCUAAAUACAGAACUUUGAGAUAUUGUUAUUCUGCCCGAAAAUAGUGAGAAUUUAUUUUCUAAGUAUAAAUUCUAUAUUCUAGAAUGCAAUUCUACUAGUUUUUAUUAAAGAGAGAUUUUCUUUUCCACUAAAAGUAAAGUAAAUGAUUUCUGGUUCUGUGCUUGAUUUGAAUUUGUUCAAGCCUACAAUCAAAGUAGCUUGUGGUACAGGAAUAACAAAGAAGGUCAUUCAGUUGAAAGCCAAGAACGAUAAGGAUCCGUUUGGUCGAAAACACAGGUGUGAUUUUUGUAAAGCUUUUAUUGAUAUAAAUAUAAAAAAUCGACUUGAUUUUCAAAAAUUAAAUUUUUCGCUGUGCAAGAAAACUAUUUUCAAAUAAAUUUUUUUUCAAAUAUUCAUAUUAACCAAGAAAGAAUAACUAUACUUGUUAAAGAUGAUACCUUAAGUUUGCUUAAGGAAAUUGAUAUUCCACAAUGUGAAUCUUGCUUCGAAGGUAAGAUGACUAAGUGAUCUUUUAAUGCAAAAGGAAUGAGGGUUGUCAAUGUAACAACCCAUUUUUCAGUGAAAUCGGAACAGUGGUUUUGAGACCACAAAUCUGAUCCGAAAAUAAAUUUUAUUUUUAUUUUAUUACGAGGUCUGUAAUAUGUUAGAAAGGUCAUGUUAAAAUUUUGAUAAGAAAAUUUUAUUGAUUAUGUGCUUAAUUACGAGAAGGACUAUAUCGUAUAAAAUGCAAAAGUUGAAUUCUAGUAGCUACAAGGAUUAAAUAGCUAUGGAAUUCAAAACUUAAGAUCCUCAUAUGGUAAUUCGACCAUUAAAGAAAAGUAUGUAGAUAUUUUGGUGACUCAUCCAUGGAAAUUUAGAAAAAGGGCAAGGACUAAAUUAGAAUUUGAAAUAAUUUAAUUAAUUAAAAAGAUGAUAAAAGAUAUCAUCUUAAUUUUUAUGUCAUAUUCAACCUAAGAAACCCUAAGAGAGAGAGAGAAGAAACUUUCAUGGCUUAAUUGGGUAAGUUUCCUUGUCCCAUUUUUAGUAAUUUUGAUAUUUUUGAAACUGGGAUAGCUUAAUCUAUCUAUUUGAGGGAUCAAUUUGAAACUUUCAUGGCUUAAUUGGGUAAGUUUCCUCGUCCCGUUUUUAGUAAUUUUGAUAUUUUUGAAACUGAGAUAGCUUAAUCUAUCUAUUUGAGGGAUCAAUUUGAAGAGUUAACAAAGAAUGAAAAUUGGGCCAUCGAUAAAUAUGCUGAAAAUUCAAAAUUUAUGGUAGAAAAUGAAAGGUUGUUGAUGAAAACAUGAUUUAUGCACUAAAGUGUAAAAUUGAUGAAAAUUCUGAAAUUUAUAGAAAAUAUGUUCUUUAAAUUCUAUAUUAAAAUUUUGGUUAGGCUUGGAAUAGGGAGUAAAUUGCAUAAAGUUUAUUUUCCGAGCCUAGGGAUUUAAUUUGAAUUUAUGGAAAAGUUAGGGGCAAAAUGGUAAUUUUUCCUAGGAUAUAAAUUGAGUCCAAAUGAAUAUGAAAUGUGGGAAAUUCAUGAUUAAAGUUAUUUAUAUAGAUCUGGACAACUGAAAUUCGAGGUUAAAUCGAGGAAAAGAAAAAUGUUUCGAAAUAGUAGAUUUUAUACGUGAAGAAGUGUCGAGGUAAGUUUGUGUAACUUAAUCGAGCAUGUAAAUAUGUUAACUUGAAUGUUAUGAGUGUAUGCAGUAUGAUUUAUAAUUAUGUGAAUGUUAUAAAUGUGUGAAUGAAUAUAUGUUCGAAAAUGUUAGAAAAAGGGGUAAAGUCUCGUUUGAAUAUUGAAUUUCGGUGGAUAAAUGUGAUUGCCUUAUAAAAUGAUGUGUUGCAUUUGUUGCUUAUGAGAUUUAGCUCGGACGAGUAAUCUUAUUAAUCUCAUUAUAGAAAGGAUUUAGCUCGGACGGGUAAUCCUGAUAUAAUUCCUCUCGAGCAUAUUUAGGAUUUAGCCUAGACUAGCAAUCUUGUAAUACGAUAUGUGGCUUGAGAGUGUGUUCUUGAUUAAAUUCCCUAAUGGGUACUCUUGAAUAAGAAUUGACAGGUUAUUAAAUUGUACACCUUGAGUGUACUACUCGAGUAUCCAUCAAAAAGUUAAUGAUUCAACGGGCAAAACUCUUGGCAUGAUGAGAGAAUUAUGAGAUGAAAUGAUAAUGUCUUGAAAGAAUAUUGCAUGAUGAGCUCAUCUAUGUUUACUUGAUGUAUAUGAAAAUUUUGUGACUAACAUGUUUGGUUGAAUGCAUGUGUUUAGGCAAUUUUUCCAAGUUGAUGGAAAACAUGAUUUUGUAUGCUUAGAUUUAAUAAACGGGAUUGGUAAGUUUAGUUUCUGUUAUACGAACUUACUAAGCAUAUAAUGCUUACUCCGUUUUAUUUUCCCUUGUUUUAUAGUGCUCGGAAGCUCGCGAAGGUUGGAGGUCAUUGGAGCAUCAUCACACUAACCACUAGCUUAUUUUGGAUAUAUAUAGAAAAAAAAUCAUUUUGGUAUAAUGGCAUGUAUAGGCUAACUUGGCCAUAGAUGGCUUGAAUAUGUGGUUUGUAAUCUAGCCAUUGGAAUGACUAGUAAUGGUUGUUUUGAUAUACUUGUAAUGUCAUACUAUGGUAGCUAGAUACAUGUUAAAUGGUUGUUCAAGUUUUGCCUAUCAUAUGAAAUAUACCAAGGUAAGAUUAUAAACAUGUAUGCAUGUAAUGAUAUACCAUGUUGAAUGAUAGAGUUUGCUUAAUUUGAAUGCUUGAAUUGGUUAGCAAUUGGAUGUGAGUUUAAGUAUAGGUCAUUGGUGUGAUUUUGGGUGAGAAAUGAAGAUAGAAAUGGCUUUAUUUUGUCCACACUGGUAGACACACGGGCGUGUGUCUAUACCGUGUGUGACAGACGGCCUGGUAUAUAGGCGUUUGAUUAGGCCGUGUGUCCCCUGCACCUUUAACUCGAAAAAAAAUGCUCAAAAUUGAGCACACGGGCAGAGACACGGGCAUGUGUCUCAGUCGUGUGUGCUACACGGCCUAGAACACGAGCAUGUGUCUUGACCGUGUGAAACCUGCACCUAAUUUCGAAAGAAUUUAAUUAACCACAUGGCCUAGCACACGGGUGCGUGGCAUGGUCGUGUACACAAGUCAGAGAGUUACACGGGGUCGAACAUGACCUGUAGUACGGGCGUGUCCCUUGGACCACACGGGCGUGUGAGCCCUGCACUUUGGAAAAUUUUUUAGAUAUCGCUAAAAUUUCUUAGGGUUUCCGAUUAAGUCCCGAUUCAAUUUUAAUGCUCAUAUUGGGCCACGAGGGUCUAUUUCAGGGACGAUAUGAAUAAUCUCGGUUAGUGAAUAGUAAAUUACGUGAAUUAUCUAAAAAAAUAUUCUAAAAAUUUUGAUAAUGCUCCGUAACUUUGUUCCGGCGACGGAUACGGGUUAGGGGUGUUACAGUCAAACUCUUAGAGCUUAUGCACACUCAUAUAUGUGGCCCCAAGAACGUCAAUGUGCAAGGUGAUUACAAUUAUUACAUAACCUUUAUAAAUGACUAUUCCAGAUAUGAAUAUGUAUACCUAAAGCACCGUAAAAGUGAAACUUUUGAUAAAUCAAAAGAGUUUCGUGCAGAAGUGGAGAAACUAGUAGGUUUACCCAUAAAGAUACUUCAGUUUAAUCAAGGUGAGGAAUACUUAUCGGAUAAGUUCUUAGGUUACCUCGUAGAGAAUGGAAUAUUAUCCCAAUUAACCGCGCUAGGAAUUACACAACAAAAUGACAUGGCAGAGAAAAGGAAUCGAACCUUGUUGGACAUAGUUUAAUUGAUGUUAAGUUAUUCAUAGCUUCAAGUCUCUUUUUGGAGAUAUUUUUUACAAAUGACUUGUUACAUUUUGAAUGAUGUACCAAAUAAGUUCAUACCUAAAACUCCAUACUAAUUAUGGAAUGGCAUGAAGCCAAGUCUAAAUCAUUUAAGGAUUUGCCGAUGGCCAGCCCACGUGUUGGAUAAAGAUAUGAGGAAAUUGGAUUCACAGAUAGAGUUGUGUAUGUUUGUGAGUUAUCCAAAAGGAAUAAAGGGUGGUUUGUUUUAUAACUCAAAAUAGCAAAUACUGAUAGUGUCCACUCAUGCUACCUUCAUUGAAGAGAGUUACAUGAACGACUUUAAAUCUUAAAGUAAAGAAGUACUUGAGAAAAUUUUGGGAAGUACAUAAAUCCUUGGUCUCGGAUCAAACUCUUAAUAAUAGAUUUACAAACAAUCAUCAACAUAAGGAGCUUCGUUGUAGUGAGAGGGUUUCUCGUACGCCCGAGUUCUUCUAGUCUGGCAGAAGUGUUUUAAACAUUGAGUUUUCUGAACAGGAAGAUGAUGACCAACCUACAUUUAAAAAACGAUGCAGAGUGUUGAUUCCAAGCUUUGGGAAAUAGCUAUAAAAGCUAAGAUGAAUUCUAUGAAAUCCAGCUAAGUGAUAUACAAGAAGAAAAGAAAUGCGAAUGGAAAAGUGGAAACUUAUAAGGCUAGACUUGUAUCAAUUACGAAGAAGCCUUCUUUUUGGUUGCCAUACUCAACUCAAUCUGCAUAUUGUUAUCCAUUGUGGUGACUCUUAAUUAUGGAUCUGUCAAAUGGAUACCAAGACAAUGUUCUUGAAUGACUAUCUUGAAGAGAGCACCUAUAUGAUGCAACCCACCCUAUAUAUAACUAAAGGAAAUUAGCAUAAAAUUUACAAAUUGCUUAGAUUUCAUAUAUGGACUUAAGUGAGCAUCCCACUCAUGGAAUCAAAUAUUUGAUCAAAACUUUUGAAUUUGAGCAAAAUAUUGAUAAACCUUCUAUUUAUAAACGUAUUAAGGAUGGAAAUGUGGUCUUUCUUAUUGUAUAUGUCGAUGACAUUCUACUCAUUGGAAAUGAUUUAAGUACAUUGUCAUCGGUUAAAUUGUGAUUAACCCAACAGUUUAGCAUGAAAGACUUAAGAAAAGCUAUCUUUGUUCUAAGCAUUUGAAUCGUAAGGGAUAGAAAGAAUAAAGUGAUAGCAUUAUCACUAAGAAUAUACAUAGACAAGAUAUUGAAAAUUUAUGCAAUAACCGAUUCAAAAUUUAGUCAUUAUACUAUAGUGGAAUAACUUCACGACUAAAGAAGUUUAUAAUUAAUAGGCGAAAAGUUGGACAUUGAUUAUAAAUUAUUUGAGCCCUUAUUAUGUAUGUACAAUUGGUCCCCCCACUAGCUCGUUGAAACAAAAAAUGAAUUGCAUGUGGAAGAAAAUGAAUACAAAUGAAUAUAAAUGAUAAAGUCGGAGAAAUAGGUCACAUUAACAAAUUAAUUUGUUUUCUCACCAGGUAUAGAAAUGACUUGAGAAAAUAAUUUAAGGUUUUUGAAUGAUUAUUUAAUUAAUUAUAAUUAAAUAAUUAAAGUUAAAAAAAUGAAAUUAAAUUAAUUUUCCAUUAUGAAUCCUUUGAAUAAUGAAAUUAAAUAUAUUUCCUCAUAAAAUAUUUUACAAUAAAGUUGUUAUAAUUUUAAUGGAAUUAGAAUUGAGUUGACAUAAUUAUUUAAUUGGGUAAUUAAUUUAGUUAAUUAAAUUAAUUAAUUAAUUAAUAUUUAUUUUUGAAAAUAGAAAAUAAACAUUAGGUUUGAUUAAUUUAUAAAAUGCUAGGUUAAAAGUUUAGGAAACUCAUAUAAUUGAACCCAAUACAUGAUAGGCCAAAUUUGUCCCGUAUAACAUGUGAGCAGCAGCAACCCAAAGGGAAUUUAAGAGAGUGGUUGCCUCCUCUCUCUUAGUUAGAUUAAGGGAGUGUUUUCUAUUAAAAUAAUUGUUGAGUAUGACUCCUAUUUCAGUCAAAUUUGAGAAAUAAUAUUCCAGUUAAAUUCUGUUUAUUUGUUUCAAUCAAACACUGAUUAGUCUAGAUUAUUUUAUUAUUAUUUGACCUAUGAAUUUAGCCUAUAAAUAGACUCUUUUACAACUUUAGAAAAUACAUCCAUUAGAGAUUAGAACUCAUAACACUUUUGGAGAAUAUUUGUGUUUAUGUUUUGAAGGUUCUUUGUUUUUUGGGGUUUCGGGGUUUAGUUUUUAUCUCCAUCUUUGUACUCUUCGUUCUUUUGCCAUUAUAGUAAAAUUAUCUUUACCCGUGGUUUUUUAUCCUCUUUGGAAGGGUUUUUCCACGUUAAAUUUGUGUGUUCAAUUUUUCAAUUUCUUCCGCUAUUUUUACUUGUUUGUUGCUUAAUUAGGUCGAUCGCCAAUAGUAACAUUAUUUGUUUAAGCCUUAUUCAACCAAGAUUCUUCUAUUUCUCCCUAUAAAUAGAUAGCACCGAUUAACUUAAAAAACACAUUUAUUGGUUAUUGAUUUAUCAUUAUUCUACCAAAAAAAUAGUGAUAAUUUAUUCACUUAAAAUAAAUUAUAUUUUCUGGGAAUUACGAUUUUUAUUAGUUUCUUGAGAGAAUUAUUUUGCUACUGAAAGUAAUAAUAAUUUCUUGUUCUUUGUUUGGUUCAUGUUUCUCGAGCCCACACUCAACCUAAAUCCAUCUUGCACAAUGUACAGGUACUUUUCGGUAAAACGGUUAUUGCUAUAAAUAUCACAAAUCGGUUCAUUUUUUAAAAUUUUUAAACUUCUGCUAUAACUAUAAAUCGUUAUGAUGGAUUUUGACAAACCACAUUUUUAAGUGGGACUGUGUGCAUUAAAUCAAAUAAAAUUAUGAAAAAUUUUGAAAAACCACAUUUUUAAGUGGAAUUGGAAAAAGGAAAUUGAGCUACUAAGAUCCCCUUUUGAAAUUACUUAUAGAUUAUGAAAUUCUUUAAUAUAUUUACCCAAAUAAAUAAGUUCAUUUUUAGAAAUUUAAAAAUCUUAAUAAAAAUAAAAUCCCUCCUAUAAAUCCCUCACCCAAAACACACUUUUAAAUACCUAUGCAAGUUGAGAAGCAAAUGAUGACAAAGACUAUUCACUAACAAAUGAUCCAUUAGAAUGACUGACCGGCAUUACGCCUGUGCGUAUAAAACAAAAAAUUUAUAAAAUAAUUUUUAUAGCACGGUUUUACUACAAGCAUGUAGGUCAGUUGUAAUAUUUGUAGUGUUACAAUGGAACACCAACGUAUUCCAAGGAUCGAACCCAAAGGAGUUGGUGACUUAGUGAUCUGCCACAAAUUAUUGACCGCCGCCGGACGUACUAACGUCUAGAGUGUGAAUAUUAUAGCAAAAGAUAUAUAUAUAAAUGAUAAGGUAUCUACAAGUAUACGGGUCGGGUUGUAAUAUAGCUACAACGAAAUAGGUAAGUAUUUUGAGGAUCGUACCCAAAGGAGGCUAGUACUAGCUCAAUUUCAACCUAAACACCAAAAGAUCUAAUUAGUACUUGAAAUAGGUUAUAUUAUGAAAAUAUAAGUAAUAGAGAUUUUUGGGGGUUUUUUAUAAUAAUGAAAAUAUGACAAGUAAUUAAGUAUCGAGAAAUUGAAAAGUGAAAUUAAUCAAAUCUGAUUAUGGGUGAUUAGCUCGCUUCGGUAAUCUUCAUCAACUGCUGCUUCAAGUUCCUCGUCAAUCAACUAGUUGAUAUCCUAGCAGGAUCUUUUGAUACAUCCGCUAGAAUAACAAGUUAGCAAGGACUACUUAUCUUCCGACCUCACAGUUCAUAUCGGUUUGGGGUGAAGGUGUUCACGGAUAGGCCAUACCAAUUUUAGGUUAAUUUCCACCUUGAUAACUUCCUAAGGUUAUCAAGCCUAGGUUUUUGGUUCUUCCUUUCCCAAAUAGCUGAUCCGUUGAGUAACCCUACAAAACAGUUAAUAGAUUAUAUCUCCACUCGUUAAUCCCCUAUAAAAAGAUUAGUUCCUCAUGGUUGUCGUAAACAAUAUAAAGUUAAUAUAAAGCAUAAACAUGAUAAUUGAAUCGAAAGUAUAAAGUUUAAGAAAAAGCCUGAUUUGUAUUACAAAGAAGAAUAAAUCUAAAAAGUUUAAUCUUAUCCACAAGCCAUAUUUCCCAAGGUAAAAAAAGAACAAGCUAAAAUAAAUCUAAAACCUAAAGAAAAGAGAAAUACUAAACUAAAAAUAAAAAAGUGAGAUUCUAAGCUAAGUAAUCAGUGUCUAUAACAUGUGCCAAAUGAGCCUAAUUAGAGAUUUGAGGUGAUCGUCGUCCUUAACCCUACGUUAAUUGACAUUCCUGAACUUUAAGUUGGAUUGUGCAGACCAAAAUGCCCCUUAGCUCGUAUUAAUUCUCGUCUAGAGUCGAUGUUGUGACACAUCAGGACUUGUAUCGAGACAUAAAAUUCAGUAUACUUUUCUUUAAGGUAUCUUCAGGGGUAUGUCACGACACCCUUAGGCUAUGUCGUGACAUCAAAGGCAGUCUCAGAAUUCUUCUACUCUGUUUUCUAUGCUGCGACAUCGAAUCCUUCGUGUUGCGACAUAGUGACCAAUAUCGGUUUAGCACGCCUUCUAAUCGUCUCCUGUAUACUCAUAAAGUUAACCUUUAGACCUCAUUCGGCCCCUAAGUUCAUUAAAAGACUCAAUUUUCACAUUUUAUUGAAUUUAAUUAAACUUACUAAAACAUAAUUAAAAUCUAAUGAUAAUACUUAUUUUCAAGCUCUUAAAGUGAAAAAAUUAGUUUAAUUGCUACACCUAAUUAUGACAGAUCAAUUAUAUUAUUACUUACAUCACUUUUUACACAUAAUUUUAGCUUUUUUAAUAGUAAAUCAAAUUAUCUUAGUAUAUAUUUGUGUUUUCAUACUUGAAGUAAUGAUGUAUGCUUUUUAGUAGUUUUUAUUACAUUUUAGAUAUAUAAAUAUGGUUACAUGUUUGUAACACCCCUUACCCGUAUCCGAUGCCGGGAUAGGGUUCGAGGCGUCUGGGCCACAAAAUUUUUUCCCAAAAUUAAAACAUCUCAAACACAUGCAUUUCGUCCCUUAUACAGGCUUUUGAAGCCUAUAACAUACAUCGGGGAGGUCCGGGACUAAACUGAGAACUUUGAAAUCUUUGGGCAACUUAACCAAUUUUCUUGCUUUGGAGAGUCACAUCCCCGUGUGGGUUGGGCCAUGUGGUCACACACGCCCAUGUGGCUUCGGACACGCUCGUGUCCUCAGCCCGUGUAACUCUCUGUUUAUGACAUCAACCAAACAAAUUGAUCCACAUGGUCAAGCCACACACCCGUGUGCUUGACUGUGUCCUCCACACAGCUGAGACACACGGUUGUGUCUCUGCCCGUGUGGUCAACACUUAGGCUAUUUUCUAAUCCUUAUGUUGUCCUUAAUUCUUUCUCAUCCUUUACACAGCAUGGACCUAAGUUAUUGCAACCAAUUAUAAUCACACGUCAUACAUUAACCCAUAGCAGGAAUAAUUAGGCCUACAAGCCAUAACCAUAAUAACCCACAUCUCAUGGCUAUAUACAAUCGAUCAAUAUAAACCGAUACAUUUGGCUAAUCAUAACAACGACUAAUAUAAAAACUAGUCCUUAUACAUGCCACUCACUUGAAAGUGUUUAAUACACGUAUGACAAUACUCCAGAGUCGAUAGCUUGCUAGUGUGAUGCUACCUCCGACAAUCUCCAACCCCGAGCUGACCUGACAAAACUAAAAGAAAUGGGAAAGGAGGGAGUAAGCUUUACGCUUAGUAAGCUCGCAUGAAAAUAAUAAGCAAUGUGAUAACAUGCUAUUUUUAUAUUCUUUCUAUUUAUUCAAAUUCCAGCUAAGCUGUUUUCUUGAGUCAUAGUCAUUAAAUUAUUUAUAUCCAGAGUUACAAGACUCCAAAUCAAGAUACAUUAAUUUUCUCAGAAACUAGACUCAUACUCUUCUUACCAUAAAAUUUUCAGAAUUUUUGGUCAAUCCAAUAAAUUCAUUUUAUUAAUCAAAUUCUCCCCUGUUUCACUGUUUGAUAGCUUCUACCUUUCUUUACUAAAAUUUAUUUAUCUCAUAGUACGAGACUCAGAUAAUGUUCUUGUAUCUUUUUCAUGAAAGCAUACUCACUAAGGAUUUUAUUCAUAUGACUCAUAACUCACAAUUAUUUUUGUAAAAUUUCUAGUGAUUUUCCAAAGUCAGAACAGGGGAUUCCGAACUCAUUCUGACUCUGUCUCACAAAAAUUCAUAUAUCUCGUAAUAAAAAAUUCUUUUUCUUACACCGUUUCCUUUAUCUGAAACUAGACUCAUUAAGCUUUAAUUUCAUAUAUUAAUCAGCCUCUAAUUCAACUUCCACCAUUUAUGGUGAUAUUUCAAAUUCGGGCUACUGCUGCUGUCAAAAACUAUCUUAGUACAACAUAAUGAUAAUCAUCCCAAGUUUGUCAUAGAAAUUAUUCUUAUAAUUAUCACUCAUUCAUUUGCACUCUUAUCACAAGUCCAUUUCAUUUCACAUGUCAAACACAUGCUCAUGGGUUUCGAGUAUGUUCCUGUGCUAUCUCUUAGCACAACCACUCAUCCAAACAGGACAAUCAUAUGCAUGAUACUAGUAUCAACUAAGCAUAAAUGAGUUUAUCAUGCUGUUUUUCUUUAUAUCACUAUGUAUGUCAUUACUGCUGAAUUAUUAAAUUUUUGAUAGACCUUUCCUUUUCCAGUUGUACACUCGAGGUGUACGUUUCUUUCUGAGUGGUACAUACAAAACAUACCUUUCCUUUUCAUAUGGUAUACACAAAGUAUACCUAACCUUUCCAAGUGUACACACAAAGUGUACAUAACCUUUUCAAGUGUACACAUAUAGUGUACCUUUCCUUUUCAAGUGGUAUACACAAAGUAUACCUUUCCUUUUCAUAUGGUAUACACAAAGUAUACCCUUCCUUUUCAAGUGUACACACAAGGUGUACAUAACCUUUUCAAAGUGUACCGUUUGGGUACAUAAGUCCUUUUCAAGUAUUAACCCUUUUGUGAUACAUUUCCUUUUCAUAAUGAGAUCAAAAGAUUACCCUUUAGGGACAAUCUUUAUUGCAACAUAUGUAAGAUAUUAUAUUCACGGUAAUCACCUGUCCAAUCAGAAAUCAAUAUUCAAACUAAUUCAUGCACCAUUUCAUCAUUUAUAUAAGUCAUAAAUCAAUAUUUGUUUAUUACAUGUACUUAUCAAUUACAAAUCAUGAUGCACAUAAUUCAACAAUCAAUUAAACACAUUUACAUGCUUAAUUUAGUUAUACGAACUUACUUGUCGAAAUCUCGUCAGAUACAACCGUGUAGCAAUUCAUAUAACCCAUGUAAUAGUAAUUUAACAUUCAAUUCAUGUAACAAUAAUUUGCCAUUCAAUUUCACAUGACACAACAAACAUUACAUUUUCCAUAUCAUAAACACCAUCCAUCAACUUCUCCUAAACAUUUUAAAUCAUACAAUUUAUACCAUAUCAAUAGAGAAUUACAAUUCAAGCAUGGUAUUACACUAUUAUUAAUACACAAACUUACCUCGGAUCCAGAAACGACAAUUUACCAUUUUAGUCCAUAACCUUGUAUUUUCUCGAUUUAAGCUCGAAUCUCGAUUUUCUUGAUCUAUAAUAUCACAUUUAGCCUAAUAAUUAGUCACAUUAUUCAUAUGGGUCCAAAAAUCAUAUUUUUACAAAUUUUCAUUUUGACCUCUAAACUUUCACAUAUUUUCACUUUUGCCCCAAUACUCGUAAAAUGAUUUUUAUUCAAUUUCCUUACAUUUUAAGCCUAGCUGAAUCAUUUUCAUAACUAUUCCAGCCCCCAAUUUCCACUAAAUCUCCCUUUUAUGAUCAAUUUUACAACUUUUACAAAACAGUCUUUUCGGACGUUUUCAUCGAAAACUGCUUAGUAAAAGUCGUUUAUUUAACACCCAACACUCAUUUUCUACCAUUAAACAUCAAAAUUCAUGCACGUCACAAAUGGUUAAAUUUUUAAACAUAAACCCUAGCUCAAAAUAAUGGUAGAAAUGAGUAGAUCAUGUUACCGAUAUUUCAAAAAUGUAAAAAUCAUUAAAAACGGGGCUAGAACGAACUUACAAAAAAGCUUGGAAGCUUGAAAAACCCUAGCCAUGGUUUCUCCAUGCAAUUUUCGGCCAAGUGGUUGAAGAUGGACAAAUUUUAGCUUUUAAUUUUGUUUUUAAUUCAUUUUAAUAACUAAAUGAUCAAAAUGCCUAACCAUGUCCAUUUUUGUCCACCAACUUAAACAAUAGUCUAAUUACCAUAUAAGGACCUCCAAUUUAAAAUUUCAUAACAAGUAGACACCUCUAGCAUGUAGAACUCAACUUUUGUACUUUUUACGAUUUAGUCCUUUUGACUAAAUUGAGUGCCCAAACGUUAAAAUUUUUGAACGAAAUCUUCACGAAAUCAUUUCGUGAAAUGUAGACCAUAAAAAUAUAAUAAAAAUGAAAUUUUCCUCAUCGGAUUUGUGGUCCCGAAACCACUGUUCCGACUAGGCCCAAAAUCGGGAUGUUACAAUGGUCUUGUAGGACAAAUCGAGAGCUAAAGAUGCAUAUUCAUGAUGGAACUGUUGCCUAUGUUGCGACACCAAGACAUCGGUGUCACAACAUUGAAGACAGAAGUAAAAACAUGUCAUGGAGCGAAACUGCUUGGUAUGUCGUGACAUAGCCUUACUAUCUUGGAGCGAAGACCCAAUAAACUGUAUAUAAAUUGAAACCUUGAAAUCUUCCCUAUCCUUGGUUCUUUAAUACAUUACAAAAUAAAUGUUAGGCCAUAGGUAUUGUGUAAUACCCCAUACCUGUACCUGAGACCAGGAUAGGAUACGAGGCAUUACCGAAAUUUUCAGAAUAAUUUCAAUUAAUUUAUAUUAUUUAGUAUUCAUUUUCAUGUUUCAUAUAACAUCCUUUUCAUAUAUUCAAUUAAAAAUAUCAUAUAAAAUACGAUACAAUACUUAAAUUUUUAUAUUUACAUGCUCAUUCAGGGUAUCCGAACCUACCUGACUAAAUUGCAGAAAUACCAAGAUUUAGGGGCAUAUUGGUAAUUUACCAUUUUCCCAAAUUUCACCCAAUAUUAAAUUGAUAAUUUCAUUCAAUUUAUUAAUUUAGAUAAUAAAAUAAUUUAUUCCCUUCAAUUUAGUCAUUUUUGACAUUUUUACAAAAUUGCCCCCUAAAAUUUUACUUUUAUUCAAUUUAGUCCAUGAGCUUAAAACAUUCAAAUUAGCCAUGCUAACUGAAUAUUCAUAUAUAUUUUUUCUCCUCCUCCUCUCCAUUCCACAUCCUUAAUGUAUAUAACAUUCUUGUAAGUACGAUUUCACAAUUUACUUAUUAAUGCUCACAUCAAUCUGUUCACACGAGUCAUCGUCACUCAAUUAUUUAUAAUUCGAGCUAAAGAGCUCAAAAUUAAGAUCCGUAAAUUUUCCCUAAAACUAGACUCACAUGUAAUUCCACCAUAAAAUUUUAAGAAUUUUUGGUUUAGCCAAUUAGUACAGUUUAUUCAUUUAAUUUUCCCCUGUUUCACUAUCCAACAGUUCUGACCUCUCUUCACUACAAAUUAAUUAUAUCAUAGUACAAAACUUAGAUAAUGUUUCCACUGAUUUCUAUUGAAAAUAGACUCAUUAAGGAUUCUAAGCAUAUAAAUUUGAGACUCUAAUUAAUUUUCUCCAAUUUUUGGUGAUUUUCCUAAGUCAAAACAGGGGAACCCGAAUUCAUUCUAACCUUGUCUCACAAAAUUCAUUAUAUCUCAUAAUUUACAAAUCCAUUGCUUACACCGUUUCUUCUAUGAAAAACUAGACUCAAUAAGCUUUAAUUUUAUAUUUUAUUCAUCUUAUAAUUCGAUUUCUAAAAUUUAUGGUGAUUUUUCAAAGUUAGUCUACUUCUGCUGUCCAAUAUUGUUUUAGUUCAAGAUGUUUAUUACCAUUUUUCCUCUAAAUUUCAAAGGUCAUAUAAUUCAGUCCUUGCUCAAUUAGCCCAUCUAUUAAGCUAAUUUUUCUCAAUUCACAUUUUAUUCCAUCAUUAUAAACUAUUACACAACAUUUGAAAAUCAUCAUUUUAACACUAAACCUUAAUUCACAACUUUUUCACAAUUAGGUCCUAAAAUCAAUUUCUAUUGAAAGGACUUGAUAAAAUCAUCAAACAACAAAAUCAAAGCUUCAAAUUCAUUUUAUUUCAUCAUAAACAGCCAAAACUUAUCAUUGAUAUCUUUUAAUUUUGUUCAUAAAAUAAAAAACUAAUGAAUUAAACACUUGGACCUAAUUGUAAAAGUCACAAAAACAUAAAAAUCUCAAAGAAAAGGGUAAGAAUUGAACUCACAUAUGUCAAAGUAUGAAAAACCAGCAGCUUUCAGACCUCCCAUGGCGUUUUUGCUGAAGAAAAAUGAUGAUAUCUCUAGAUUUUUCAAAUUUGUCUUGUUUUAUAUGUUUAAUUUGCAAAAUUUCCCAUUUUGCCCUUGUUUCUCCUUGUCUUUUUUGCUGAUUUUCUUGCCCAACCGUCCAGCCCAUACAAUUUGGGUCCAAUUGCCUUUUAAAUCCCUCCUUUUUAAGGACUUAAACUAUUUAAUCACAAUUUAAUAAAUUUCGUAUUGUUUUCAAUUUAGUCCUUUUUAAUUGAUUGACUAACCAAACGUUAAAAUUUUCUAACGAAACUUUAAUACUAACUUAAUAACACUCCAUAAAUAUUUAUAAAAAUAUUUAUGGCUCGGUUUAUAAAUCCGAGGUCUCGAUACCUCGUUUUCAACCAAAUUUACCUGAUUAAUUCUUUUAAAAUCGCAAAAUUCACUAAUUAAAAAUAAUUCUUUUAAGUUCGCGCUUGGGCUAUAAUUAUUAUUUGUUAAAAUUUCUAAACUUACUCGUCGGAUUUAGUGAUCUCGAAUCACUGUUUCCGACACUACUGAAAAAUUGGCUGUUACAUAUUGAGUGUUUAGCAGAUACAUCACGGUGGUUUCAAAAAAGUUUAGAGCGAAAAAGGAAGAAACAAUGUGAUACAAUGAUUAUAGGUCGAGCAAAAAUGUGUGAAAAAAGAAAAAUCUAGAAAAAGUAAAAAGUAAAAAUAAGAAGAAAAAGUACAAAAUAAAAUCAAAAGCAUUGUGAGUGAGAAAAAAAGUAAAAAGUCAAGUGACAAAAUAAAAAGUCACAAAAGUGAGAGAAAAACUCAGUCAUCAAUGCACAAAAACUCAUUCAGCCAACCAUAGUUGUUAGUAUUAUAUUGUCUCUUCCUAUAUGGAGAGAUAAGGAAGGUGAGAGAGGGAGAAAAAAGACGACAAGCUUGAAAGGGGCACCUAAGGGAAGAGAAGGAAUAAUGUCAUGUGCCUAACUAUUUCUAGUGUUUGAACUAUUUUGAGCCAUAUCUUUCUUUGAACUCGUACCGUCCUAAGCCUCAGAAUGUUACAAGCCUAAAAGACCAAUGUGACUUAAGCGUUCUCUGUGCAUAAUCUUCCGGUACUACUAACAAUUGUACUUAAUGAAAAUUUUUGAUUCACAUGAUUGUAUCUGCUACAUAUCUAUUUGAUUUCUGUUAAUGGUGAUAUUGUUAAACAUUUGAUUGUGAGAAUUGCUUCUAAUUUAUUAGUGAUGUAACUUUGUAAACUAAUCUUAAUUUACUUUAAAAAGUUUUCAAUACAUCAAACUAUCAAAAAUAAGUUGCAUGUGCGAUAAAAUUUUUUGUACCUUUACUAUUUGACAACCAUAUUCGUAGUAGUAAUAAAUUCUAAGGGACGUCUUCUUUUUGCAUGCUAUAUGUCUACACUUAGUUUGCUUGAGGACAAGCAAAAAGUUAAGUGUGGGGGAGUUUAAGUGUGAGAUUCUUAUUUACAUCCAUCUUCACUAACUUUACAUUUGUUUAAAUAAAGAAAUCAAGUUAUUUUCGUAUUUUUUUUCCUUUUUCCCAUAUAUGUGUUUUGGUUGCUUGAGGACAAGCAACAAGUUAAGUGUGGGGGGAGUGAUCUACCACGAAUUAUACUAUUAUUUACAUCCCUUUUUACACAUAAUUGUAGCUUGUUUAAUAGUAAAUCAAAUUAUCUCAGUAUCUAUGUUUUCAUACUUGAAGUAAUGACAUAUGCUUUUUAGUAGUUUUUAUUACAUCCUAGAUAUCUAAAUAAGGUUACAUGGUCUUGUAGGACAAAUCGGGAGCUAAAAAUGCAUAAGCAGGCCGAAAAUGUUGGUUAUGUCGUAACACCAAGACACCGAUGUCACAACAUCAGGGACAAAAGCAAAACAAGUCCUGGAGCAAAACUGCUUGUUAUGUCUUGACAUAGCAAGCACCAGAUUCGAUUUUGCAACAUUGCAUGCCUAUGUUGCAACACCACUUCUGCGCAGUCCAAAAGUCCUAGUACGUGACAGUUGUGUUUUUUAGGGAAAUUAGGAGUAUUUUUCCUAGUCAAACUCUAAGUACUUCAAGGAUAGUUUAGACACUUUAAUAUUCCAAGUUUAACCUAUAUAAAGGCCAUUGUAAUAAGUUCAAACACACAAUUUUAAGGAGACAAAAAUUAUUCUUACUUUUUUAUUUUGUUCUUAGUUUCUACUUAGUUUAUUUUAUGUUCUUGUAAUCGAAAGAUCCUAUUCCAAAGUAAGACUUUAGUGAGAGGAGAUUGUUCGGAGUCAUGCUUUCAUCGAUAAAUCCAUGAGCAUAUCUUUUCUUUAUUUUAUUCUCUAUAUUUUUUUCUUUAUCAUUGUUAAUUGAAUGUUUGUGUAAAGAUUAGAAUCAAUUUAUAAUUUAUAUAUAUUUUGCAUGUUUCAAUUUUACUAAUCUUAUUACUUGAUUGAUUGGUAGAGUUCAUUUGGAUUGGUUAGAUCUGGUUGAGUGUUAUUAAACCCUAGGGUUUACGAUCCUAGGAAGUCAUCUAGGUAGGAAUUAACUUGAAAUUGGUAUUUCUUACAAAUCAUUACUUAGCAGAUCAGUGGUUAGGGAAGGAAGAACUUAAACCCUAUGAUAGACAACACUAGGAAGUCAUAUAGUUAUGAAUUAACCCAAAUUUGGUAUUGCCUAUCCAUGAAAACCUUAUCCUACCCCAUUCUAAACUAUAUCAUUGAGAGGUGAGUAGUUCUUGUCGUCUAGUUAGGUUAGUAGAAGUUGAGAAGCCCUGCUAGGUUAAUUAGUAACCAACUAUUUAAAUCCCUACAUUAAUAAUUAAUUAGGUAAAACAAUUGAAUCUAGGCUUAAGAAACUCCCGUAGUCGAAACAAGGGAUAGGAGAAGUUGAUACAUGAACUUAGGAAUAGAUUUAAGUUUAGUUCAAUUUAUUUGGUUAUUAUUAUUAUCAUCUUACUUUCAGAUUAACACUACUAAUCUGAAACUUUAGUAGAUUAGUAGUGAUUUUCGGUAAUUUGCCUAAAAGUAGUUUUUUUUCCAAACUGCAAUCCCUAGGGUAUAAUCCUCGGAAUACUUACCCAGUGUUUCAUUGUAAACAAACUAUAUUACAACCUGACCCAUAUACUUGUAGACACCACCUCAAUUCCAUAUAUUUUGUAACAGUAUUCAUACUUUCGAUGUUGGUAUGUCGAGAGGUGGUCAUUUAGCAAUUUCUAUUCAAAAGUGCAUGUAAGAAAGGAGUCUAGCUAGCUACUCACUAAUUGCUAUAGUACGACAAACCAUUAAUGAAGUUAAUUAAAGCUAAUUACUUAUCUAAGACAAAAAAGGACUAAAUUGUAAAUAACGCAAAACAAAAAAACUACUAAUUAAGAUAAUAGACAAUGGAUGGUUGAUUUCCAUGUUAAUUAACCCUCGAAUUAGGGAUCUAUAUUGCUCACAUUCCUAAGUUGGCUCAAUUUUAUCUUCCGAUCUCAAUUUUACCGACUUAGAUGAAUUAGUUCAGAUUUCACCGAUUAAUCCGGGACUAAUGGACAGGUGUACAACAAGAUUAUUUUAUCUUCCGAUCUCAAUUUUACCGACUUAGACGAAUUAGUUCAGAUUUCACCGAUUAAUCCGGGACUAAUGGACAGGUGUACAACAAGAUUACCUUCCGGUCUCACUUGCCUAAAUAUUCCCUUAUGGGCGUCACUUCCUAAGUUUUUAGAUUUAUUCGAUUUAUUCUCAUUUUGUAAUUUAGUCCCCGAACUCAAAAACUAACCUAGCAACAUUUUCAUCAAACACCUAGUGUUUAGUUACCCAUUACCAUAUUAAAGCUAACAAACAUGAAAGAAACAACUAUGGAACCUGUUAACAUAAACUUGAACAAAAAGAUAAAAGCUUUGAUUUUUAACUUUAUAAAUUUAAAUGAAAAGCAACUAACACAAAGAUAAAGAAACAAGAACACUAAAGAUAAUAGCUUUAACAGAUUAAAAGAAAGAAAACUCAUAUAGCAUUAACUCGAAGAUUAAAAAGUGAUUACAACUAAGUUGAAAGUAUUUAACAUGUAAAUAAAAAUAAGCUAUAGGAAAAACUAACUUAACUAACAACUAUGAAAAUAAGUAAAACCAGAAAGAAACAUAAACUAAAACCCUGAAACUAUAGAGAAGAAAACUACCCUACUCCUAAGUUAGAAGAUGAAAGAAACCCUAAAACUAAAGAGCUUUCUAACCUAAAACUACAACCUUUUUUUUUCUUAGCCAAGAGUGGCUUUUAAUAGUUGAUUCCUGACCCCAAAAAUGUUGCCCAAAUUUACACAUCAAUUUGUGGUAGAUUAAUGGCAAAGGGUCUAUACACCACAAUUUGGUCUAUCUUUGUUUCUCCUAUGUCUAUCAAGCUUUUCACUUCCAUUCAAGUCACUCCCAACCUUACCAUGUGAAGCACUAUUUGUAUCCUUCAACUUUGAUUUGCAUGUGAAUGCCAAGAAGGUCGUUUGUCUUCUAAAUUUGAGGUCUAAAUUUGUUUCUUUGACUGGACCCAAGAAGAUUGACUUUAACAAGCAUCAUUACUUAAAAGUACACCUAUUGUAACACCCCCUAACCCUGUCUCGUUACCGAAAUAGGAUUAUAGAGCAUUACCGAUCAUUACAAUACGUUUGCACAUAAAAAACAAAUAAAUGCAAUACUAUAUAUCUAAUCAUAGCUUUAAUGGACACACAGUACUUAUUAAGUAUAAAUAAAACAAAUCGAGGCUCGAUUGGGAGCUUAGAACAUUUUUCGUGCAAUUUUAAAUUUUCUUCUUUUGAACAGUACCACACGCCCAUGUGGCUAAUAUAACACGCCCGUGUGGCUUGGUACAUGUCAUUAUCAAUAAUUAACAUGUGUUACAAAUGUAUGUACAAUAUUUAUUACACAUGUAUUUUAUUUUUACCAUACACUUGUCUUUCUUUUAUUUAUUUAAUAAUAAUUAAUAUUAUUAAUUUAAAACCUUAAACAUAUAAAAAUCCAAUAAAAAUCUUAGAUUUUAUCUAAGCUUGUCGUCUUAUCUAUAGUAAAUUGGCUUAAUUAUCAUUUUGAUCCUUUUUAUUUUCUUUUAAUCUACAAUUAAACCUUCACACUUCAUUCAAUUUAAUCAUUUUUCCUAAUUAUCCUUAAUUUAAGCUAUUUCACUUCAUUAAACUUUAAUUAACCACUCAAUUAACUUCAUAAAUAUUUUUAAUAAAUAUUUACGAGUCCAUUUUUCAGAAAUGGAGACCUAAAAAUACACUUUUCCGAUAACCGUAAAGUUCGGGUCAUUACAAUUCUCCCCCUUAAUAAAUUUCAUCCUCGAAAUUUGCCUAAAAAGAGGUGGGGGUUCAGUGAUCUCACUGUUUCUUUCGGUUCUCGUAUUGCUUCCUCAAUAUUAUGACUUCACUUUUCAAGCUAAUAUCUCAAUCAGUUCUUCUUUUCCAUACAAUAUAUCAGUUCAAAUUUCAAUAUCAUUUGUCGAGAUAACAUGUAAGAGAUUUGAUCUAUAACUUCCGAGCAUCCAAACAUGAAAAACAUCAUAACUUUUCUGUAAUUUCAAAGGCAAAACCAAGCAAUAUAUCACUGGUCUAACUUUUUCUAUAAUUUCACAUAGCCAAACAGAACAAGAACUCAAUUUCCCAACGUUUUAAGUCUUCAUACGAUUUCUGUUUGUCAAAAACUGCUUUCAGUCUAUCUCAAAUCAAUUUUAUUUUCUUCAGUUUCCCGAAUCAAAAUAACUCUAUCUAUUCCUUUUCUUGCUGCAUCCAGUCAAAUACUAUGAAGUUUUACAUUCACAAUCAUACAGAGCUUCAUACAGUGCUGAAAACUAUUAUCGCGUACCCAAAACUUCUUAUAUUUGUUCUAGAAUCAGAAUGUAAACUAUUUAUCUCAAUCAGAAAUAAUAGAAACUGACAUACCAUGAAUCUGACAAUCUCAGAAACCCAUAUUUCAGAUUAUACUAAGUAAGAAACUUAUUCAUACCAGAAUAAAAUAUGCAAACUUCUCCAUACCUUCGACGAUUAUUCAAAUAUCAUCUUUCUUUUUCGACGAUAAGGAUAAUUUCAUUUCAAACCCAUAGAAAUACUAUCCCAUUUCCAUUUUGAUAUCAUCACUGGCUGUAACAGUCCUGAAGGUAUCAAUAUCUGAUGUUCACUUUGUAAGAGUAUGCCCAAAGAUCAAUCAUGAGAUGGUUGUAAUAACAUACUUGAUUUACCAUGUUUAUUAAUAUAAGGCGUUGCCAUUAUUAUUUCAGUUUCUUUUCUGUGUGUAUAAAUAAACUGUUUUAUAAUAAUGUCCUGAGAAUAAUAUGAUUAUUCUUAAAAGGUCAUUAGUCAAGUAUUAUUGUUGACUAGGACAACAAUAAUGCAUUAAAAAUAACAUGUAGUUGAUUGAUGAUAAAGAGUUGUUAUGGAGUGUCAGAAUCAAUGCAUGAAUAUGUGUGUUAGAGAACAACAUAUUGGACUGACCCGCUAUAAGUAUGGUUCUUAGAUUAUUAUGUAAUUGUCACAACAUUACUCAUAGUGAUUAAUAUGUAUAUGAUCCUCAGACUUGAGAUAAUCAUUAUCCCAACAUCGUGAGAUGUAUAUUCUGAUAUAGUCAAAUGUACACCGUAACUGGUUAUUUUAUAAAGGCUGAUGUUGGAUAUACCACAAUCUAUGUAGAGGGAUAUGGUUGAUCAAUAUAGGAUAAGUCUCUCUUACAUAAUGGGAGUAAUAUCUUAGGCUACUUGAUUGAGUGAGACUAGAAAUGCAUGGCCAUGCUCAAAUAAGUUGAUAUGAGAUGUCAUACUUAUUUGUGUAUCAUAGUCUACUCAAGGUAUCAAGAAACAUGGGAUGGACUAUGCAAAUGUGACUAUUCCAUGACUUGUGUCCAUUCCAGAGAUAAAGGACUUAAGGAUUAAUUUAUGAAAGGUUAAUCACAAUAGGUUAUGUCGAAUCAUGACUUCUUGUAACUUAGGUAGCAAUGAUGCAUUGCUAGAUGCCACUCAUUGUUUGUAACAUUAGAAUCGUUCUAGUAUUACUGCUAACGUUACAAGAACCUAUAGGGUCACACCCUAUGGUUGAAAUGAACGGAAUAAAACAUAGUUGGUAUUGUGUUUGGUUGUCACAUGAAUUAAAUUAAUUAUAGAAUUAAUUUAAUUAGGCAAUCAAAUAUCGAACAUAUUAUAUGUACAAGGAUGUUGUACACAUAAGGAGAACAUAAUUCUAUUAAUAUAUGAAUUUGGUUCGUAUAUAAAUUUAAAUAAAUAUAGUUUACCAAAAUCUUUAUUAUAAGUAAUGUAUAAUUUUCGGUUAAAACAUUAUUAUAUUUAUUUAUUUUAAUUAUGAUUAUUAUGUUCGGAUUAAAAUUUAAUAAAUUAAGAAUUUGUUAUAUACAUACCAAUUAUAAGGGGAGUUAUAUAUUGAAAGGGAGAAAAACCCUAAAAAGUGAAUAUAUAUACAAACCCGAAGCUUUGCUACUAGGUCUAGCAGCCGUCAAGCAAAAUAUCUCUGAAAAUAGUUUUGGGGAUUUCUUCCAUUCAUUAUCAAUUGGGUGGAUUACGUAAAGGCCGGGAUCAUAAAGAUUGCGGUUUGGAUUCAAAAGCAAAAUAGUAUUCUCAUUGCUGAGGCUUUACUGUCUACUCAGAUUGAAAUUUUUGUAAUUUCGAAACCUUUUUCACCCCGAUUCGUUCCUCGCACAUGGAUCCAUGGUUUGGAUAGUCGGAAUAUUUUUUUCACUGUGCCAUGGGGGUACGGGUAUUCCAAUAGUGGUAUCAGAGCCACUUGUGUGAUACGGACUCGGGUUUAAAUACUUGGGUGAUACAAUUGUAUGAGAUGCAUGCUUUAUUUUUAUUACGAUUUUUGACUAUUUAUAUCGUCUAAGCAUAAACUGAUUACCGUUCCUUUCGAUAAUUGAUUAAAUGUUAAUCAUGGUGUUAUGGCCUAUUCAGUUUCAUGUUAUUACUGUUAACUUUAAAAAUCUGUAAUGAUGCGACGGUGGUAUUUAUAGUUUCCAGUAAGAGUUAACUGGCUAGUGGAACAAGGGUUGUUCCGAUAUGAAACCUCAAGGAUUCAAAUCCUGAAAACACGAUUCUGUUGAUAAAAGUUAUCAAAUCGUGAGCUUUCAUUUGACUGGGGUAUGCGGUUCCCAUCAUCUUUCAGUAUGUUUUGUAAUAAAUAAAACCUGAUGGGCCAUAAAAGGUUGAAAGGAUAUUUUAUAAUUCAUUUAGCAAAACGUUGAAUGAUGUAUGCUAUUUUUGAAAUGCACGGUGUUUGAAAUGCAUAGUUAUAGCCCGAUGACCCAUUUGAUAAAAUGUUGUAAUUUUAUAAAUACAACCUGCGUGUUGUGCCUUACUACUAUUCUCUUCUAUUUCUCUUCUCACCUUACUCCCUCGUAUGUAAAACGAGUUUCUGAAUAUUGUAAUUUGCAAAAGCUGCUAUGGACUAGACGAGAAGGAAGAUGAGCCAACUAAUGUGGACUGACAGCUUGUGAAACGGCUUACACCUUUAGGUUUCCUUUUGGUUCUCCCAUUGGCUUGGGUUGAACCACCAUAGUUUAUGGGCUAUAAUGCAUUUAUUUAUUGCUUUAUCUAUUCAUGUAUGAGAUGCUAUAGAUGUCCAAAGCAUACAAAUUUGGUAAUAAUAAACCCUAUUAAUUGAUGAGAUCAAUUAAAAUAUUAAAUGGACUGAAGUAGACCAUAAUUGGUGAGAUACAACAACUUUAAUAAAAUCCCUCUAUUUAAAUAUUAAGUCAACAUGGCCUUCCAAAUUUUUCCCUCAUUAAGGCCUCGAUCAAUACUAUGUAGGUUCUGCCAAAGUGAAGUAGUAGUAUUUAUCUUGGUUAAACGCGAAGAAUAAACAAGUGAUAUUCGCUAUUUAAAAAUUGGUUAAUGACUUAACUAGGUUACUCUAAUAGGAUUAGAAACCUAGAAGCAAGUAAUUUGGAUAAAUCAUAAGAUGAUUAGAACAAGAGUUGUUCAUCAAAUUGUAGGAGUUACAUAUGAUGUAAUUAGCAAGUGUUGCUUACCUAAAUAACCAUAAUCUUGAGAGUAAAGCCAAAGCUGACUUAAGAGGAGGUGAAAUAUGGAUCCUUAACCCACUAGAAAUACUUUCAAGAAAGUCUUUCUGAAAUUAAUAUAUGAGGGUUAUUAAUUUUGAAAUAAAAUAGUAGGAACAUCAUAUAAUAAAGUCCUUUUAAUGAUUGAUAUAAACUUGGUAAAUUUAUUCACACGCAUAUUUUAUUGUUGUAGAUAUAUUAUGGCUGCAAACACUAAUACACUCUCAUUGCGAUCGAUUCUUAAGAAGGACAAAUUGAAUGGUUUGAACUUUCUUGACUAGUACCGUAACUUGAGGAUUGUCCUCAAACAAGAACGGAAAUUAUAUGUCAUUGAACAACCACUUCCUAAUGAACCACCCGCUAAUGCCUCGAGGGCUGAUAGAGAUGCUUACAAGAAACAUCUCGAUGACAUGGUAGAUGUUGGAUGUAUUAUGCUUGCUACUAUGAAUCCUGAGCUUCGGAAGCAACAUGAGGACAUAGUUGCUUAUGAUAUGAUCGAGCACCUGAAAGAACUUUAUCAGGGGCAAGCACGGCAAGAGAGGUUCGAUAUCUCUAAGGCCCUUUUCCAAUGUAAGCUGGAUGAAGGAAGCCCAGUAAGACCUCAUGUCCUUAAGAUGAUUGGUUAUAUUGAAAGCCUAUCUAAGCUUGGGUUUCCAUUGAGCCAAAAGUUGGCAACUGAUGUUAUUCUGCAAUCGUUGCUGGAUAGCUACAGCUAGUUUGUCCUCAAUUUCAAUAUGAAUAAAAUUGACAAGACUCUGCCACAGCUGCUCAGUAAGUUGUGAACUGCUGAAGGCAACAUGAAAAAGGUUGGACCCAAGCCCAUACUGAUGGUCCGUAACAACAAGGGCAAGGGAAAGGCCAAAGUUCAGGCAAAGCCCAAGGGCAAAGGUAGGCCCAAUCCUGGAAAAGGAAAGGUUGCACUGAAACCUAAAGGUGGGGUGUCUAAGGAAGGAAACUAUUUUCAUUGUGGUGUGACUGGACAUUGGAAGCGGAACUGCCCUCUCUAUCUUGAGGAAAUCAAGAAGGCCAAGGCAAGCGGAACGUCUGCUUUAGGUAUUUAUGUUAUUGAUAUUAAUUUAUCAAUUACUACUUUUUGGGUAUUAGAUACUGGUUGUGGUUCUCAUAUUUGUACUUCUGUACAAGGACUACAAAGGAAUAGGACUUUGGCUAGAGGAGAUAUGGACCUGGGAGUUGGAAAUGGAGCAAGAGUUGCUGCAAUAGCUGUGGGAACAUAUACUUUAUCUUUUCCUAGUGGACUUGAUUUAUGUUUAGAGGAUUGUUAUUUUGUGCCCAUUUUAACUAAAAACAUUAUUUCAAUUUCUCGUUUAGACAAAAUUGGUUUUGAGAUAAUUAUUAAUAAUAAUUGUUGUUCAUUUUAUCUCAAUAAUGUUUUCUAUUGUUCGGCACAAUUGAUUAAUGACCUCUAUAUUUUAGAUCAAAUAAAUCUCAUUUACAACAUAAAUACUAAAAGAUCUAAAAUAAAUGACUCAAAUCAAACUUAUCUUUGGCAUUGUCGUUUGGGCCACAUAAGUAAGAAACGCAUAUUCAAACUCCAUAAAGAUGGUCUCUAGGAUGCAUUUGUUUUUGAACAAUUUGAAGUAUGUGAAUCUUGCUUAUUGGGAAAAAUGACUAAAUCUCCUUUUACUGGUAAAAGUGAACGAGCUAGUGAUUUAUUAGGCUUAAUACAUUCUGAUGUAUGUGGACCAAUAAAUACACUGGCCAGAGGUGGAUUUCAUUACUUUAUUACUUUCACUGAUGAUUUUAGUAGAUAUGGGCAUGUUUAUCUCAUGCGCCAUAAGUCUGAGGCCCUUGAAAAGUUCAAGGAAUUCAAAAAUGAAGUACAAAAUCAACUAGGCAAAACUAUCAAGGCACUUCGAUCUGAUCGAGGUGGAGAGUAUUUGAGCUUAGAGUUUGAUGAUCUUUUGAAGGAAUGUGGGAUUGUCUCACAACUUAAUCCUCCUGGUACUCCUCAAUGGAAUGGAGUUUCUGAAAGAAGAAAUCGAACUCUGUUAGACAUGGUUCGAUCCAUGAUAAGUCAUGCUGAUCUACCGACUUCCUUUUGGGGACAUGUACUUGAAAAAGCUACUUUCACACUAAAUCGUAUUCCAUCUAAAUCAAUUCAAAAGACGCCAAAUGAGAUGUGGACUGGGAAACGUCCCAAUAUGUCUUUUAUGAAAAUUUGGGGUUGCUAAGCUUAUCUUAAAUGUUAGACGUCUACUAAGCUUGAACCCAAAUCUGAAAGGUGUAUUUUUGUGGGGUAUCCGAAAGAAACCAAAGGAUAUUAUUUCUUUAAUCCCACUGAGAACAAGAUGUUUGUUGCUCGGACUGGUGUCUUCUUAGAGAGAGAAUUUGUUUCUAGAAAAGGAAGUAGGAGAAAGAUUAAACUUGAAAAAAUUCGAGAAUCACAAGAUACCACUGAACUAGAGAUAGAACAACAGUAAAUUCCACAAGAAAUUGAGGAACAAGUAACUGCUGUAGAAACACAAUCACCGCCGCAGAUCUUUAAGAGAACGCCAUACACCUGAGAGAUAUGGAUUUCUCAUUACAACACAUGGUGACGUUCUUCUUAUCGAUCAAUAUGAGCCUAGAACUUAUCAAGAAGCGGUGACGAGCCCAGACUCUGAGAAAUGGCUUGAAGCCAUGAGAUCUGAGAUGGAAUCCAUGUAUGAAAACCAAGUAUGGAGUACGAUUGACCCACUCGAAGGGGUUAAACCCAUAAGGUGCAAAUGGGUUUUCAAAAAAAAACCGACAUGGAUGGUAAUGUACAAACAUACAAGGGGCGAUUAGUCGCUAAAGGUUUUCGCCAAAUUCAUGGUGUUGACUAUGAUGAAACCUUUUCUCCUGUAGCUAUGUUUAAAUCCAUCAGGAUCUUGCUCGCCAUAGCUGCAUUUCAUCAUUAUAAAAUCUAGCAGAUGGACGUCAAAACAGCUUUCCUUAACGGGAAACUUGAAGAGGAUGUGUACAUGACACAGCCUGAAGGUUUUAUCAAUCCAAAGGAUGCUAAAAAGAUAUGUAAGCUACAAAGAUCCAUUUAUGGAUUAAAGUAAGCUUCUCGAAUUUGGAAUCUUCGUUUUAACGAUGCAAUCAAAGAGUUUGGUUUUAUCAAAAAUGAAAAUGAGCCAUGUAUUUACAAGAAAGUUAGUGGGAGCACUAUCACAUUCUUGGUACUAUAUGUGGAUGACAUACUUAUCAUGGGAAAUGACAUACCUACCUUGCAGUCUAUUAAGACUUGGUUAGGAAGUUGUUUUUCUAUGAAGGACUUGGGCAAAACCACUUACAUAUUAGGAUUCAAGAUCUAUAGAGAUAGAUCAAGACGAUUACUAGGUCUAAGCCAAAGUACAUACAUAGAUAAAGUAUAGAAAAGGUUCAACAUUGAAGAAUCUAAGAGAGGAUUCCUACCUAUGAGGCAUGGUAUUUCACUCUCGAAGGAAAUGUGUCCUUCAACUCUACAAGAGAGAGAACGCAUGAGUAAAAUUCCAUAUGCUUCUGCUAUUGGAUCUAUCAUGUAUGCCAUGUUAUGUGCCCGUCCAGAUGUCUCAUAUACCUUAAGUAUGACGAGCAGGUACCAAGUAGAUCCCGGUGAAGGUCACUGGACCACAGUCAAGAAUAUUCUUAAGUACUUGAGAAGAACAAAGGAUACAUUCCUAAUAUAUGGAGGUGAGGAAGAGUUAAGUGUAAAAGGUUACACCGAUGCCAGCUUCCAAAUCGACAAGGAUAAUUCUCGAUCUCAAUCAGGUUUUGUGUUUUGCCUUAAUGGUGGUGCAGUGAGCUGGAAGAGUUCAUAGUAAAGUAUAGAAGCCGAUUCUACAACAGAGGCCGAGUAUAUUGCAGCCAGUGAGGCAACAAAAGAAGCAGUUUAGAUCAAGAAUUUCAUCACUGGACUAGUGAUUGUGCCUAGCAUAUCAGAUGCUAUAGAACUCCGAUGUGAUAACAAUGGAGCCAUUGCACAAGCUAAAGAACCCAGAUCUCACUAGCGAUCCAAACAUAUACUUAUGCGCUACCAUAUUAUUUGAGAGAUUAUCGAUCGAGGGGAUAUAGAGAUAUGUAGAGUAACUACAAAUGACAACAUUAUUGAUCCCUUUACCAAGCCUCUAACACAGCAGAAGCAUGAUCGUCACACUAAGUCACUUGGUAUUAGAUAUAUGAGUGAUUGGUCUUAGUGCUAGUGGGAGAUUGUAAGAGUAUGGCCAAAGAUCAAUCAUGAGAUGGUUGUAAUAACAUACUUGAUUUACCAUGUUUAUUAAUAUAAGGUGUUGCCAUUAUUAUUUCAGUUUCUUUUAUGUAUGUAUAAAUAAACUGUUUUAUAAUAAUGUCCUGAGAAUAAUAUGAUUAUUCUUAAAAGGUCCUUAGUCAAGUAUUAUUGUUGACUAGGACAACAAUAAUGCAUUAAGACUAACAUGUAGUUGAUUGAUGAUAAAGAGUUGUCAUUGAUAUGGAGUGUUAGAAUCAAUGCAUGAAUAUGUGUGUUAAAGAACAACAUAUUAGACUAACCCGCUAUGAGUAUGUUUCUUGGAUUAUUAUGUAAUUGUCACAACAUUACUCAUAGUGAUUAAUAUGUAUAUGAUCCUCAGACUUGAGAUAAUCAUUAUCCCAACAUCGUGAGCUGUAUAUUUUGAUAUAGUCAAACGUACACUAUAACUGGUUGUUUUAUAAAGGCUGAUUUUGGAUAUACCACAAUCUAUGUAGAGGAAUUUGGUUGAUCAAUAUAGGAUAAGUCCCUCUUACAUAAUGGGAGUAAUAUCUUAGGCCACUUGAUUGAGUGAGACUAGAAAUGCAUGGCCAUGCUCAAAUAAGUUCAUAUGAAAUGUCAUACUUAUUUGUGUAUCAUAGUCUACUCAAGGUAUCAAGAAACAUGGGAUGGAUUAUGCAAGUGUGACUAUUCCAUGACUUGUGUCCAUUCCAGAGAUAAAGGACUUAAGGAUUAAUGCAUGAAAGGUUAAUCACAAAAGGUUAUGUCGAAUCAUGACUUCUUGUAACUUAGGUAGCAAUGAUGCAUUGCUAGAUGCCACUCAUUAUUUGUAACAUUAGAAUCGUUCUAGUAUUACUGCUAACGUUACAAGAACCUAUAGGGUCACACCCUAUGGUUGAAAUGAACGGAAUAAAACAUAGUUGGUAUUGUGUUUGGUUGUCACAUGAAUUAAAUUAAUUAUAGAAUUAAUUUAAUUAGGCAAUCAAAUAUCGAACAUAUUAUAUGUACAAGGAUGUUGUACACAUAAGGAGAACAUAAUUCUAUUAAUAUAUGAAUUUGGUUCAUAUAUAAAUUUAAAUAAAUAUAGUUUACCAAAAUCUUUAUUAUAAUUAUGUAAUAAUAAUUUUCGGUUAAAAUAUUAUUAUAUUUAUUUAUUUUAAUUAUGAUUAUUAUGUUCAGAUUAAAAUUUAACAAAUUAAGAAUUUGUUAUAUACAUACCAAUUAUAAAAGGAGUUAUAUAUUGAAAGGGAUAAAAACCCUAAAAAGUGAAUAUAUAUACAAACCCGAAGCUUUGUUACUAGGUCUAGCAGCCGUCAAGCAAAAUAUCUCUGGAAAUAGUUUUGGGGAUUUCUUUCGUUCAUUGUCAACUGGGUGGAUUAUGUAGAGGUCGAGAUCAUAAAGAUUGUGGCUUGGAUUCAAAAGCAAAAUAGUAUUCUCAUUUCCGAGGCUUCACUGUCUACUCAGAUUGAAAUUUUGGUAAUUUUGAAACCUUUUUCACCCCGAUUCGUUCCUCGCACAUGGAUCCAUGGUUUGGAUCGCUGGAAUAUAUAUAUAUAUUCCACUAUGCCAUGGGGGUACUGGCGUUCCAACAUAGUUUUCAUCUAAUUUACGAGAUUAUUCAUCUCCAGUAUACGUUUCAUAAUCAAUACCAUCGAUAUGUUCAUCUAACAUUUUCAACUAUAAAACAGAACCAAGCAAUUAUAUCAGCAUCCGAUCCCGACUCAAGUUUAACAUAGAAAUGGCAUGUACUUUUAGAAUCUUUUCUAAACUCUAUUUAGUCCUAGAAUCGACUAAACCUAAGUAGCUCUGAUACCACUAAAUGUAACUUCCCCUAACCCCGUCCCGUUCCCAGAACAAUAUUAUAGAGCAUUACCGAUCAUUACAAUACGUUUGCAUAUAAAAAUAAAUAAAUGCAAUACUAUAUAUCUAAUCAUAGCUUUAAUGGACCCACAGUACUUAUUAAGUAUAAAUAAAACAAAUCGAGGCUCGAUUGGGAGCUUAGAACAUUUUUCGUGCAAUUUUAAAUUUUCUUCUUUUGAACAGUACCACACACCUGUGUGGCUAAUAUAACACGCCUGUGUGGCUUAGGACACGUCCGUGCCCUUAGCCCGUGUGCAACAUUGAAUUUAAAACACGGCCUUGACACACGCCCGUGUGUCAGGCUGUGUGGACUCAAUAAUGAGCCUUUCACACUUUACUAGCCAACCCUGCAAAAUUUCAAUCUACAACCAAUACAAAUAUUUUAUAUAUAUAUACUAUCCAAUUUUAGCAAUAAAACAUACAUCCAAUUUGCCCUCAGUGGUACCACAAUUUAUAUCAAUUAAACAUUAUCAUACAAACCUAAUUAAUUUUCUUAGGUUUAGUUACCAAAAUUUACAUGUUUCAUACAUAAUUCAACAUCGUUAUAUCUUUCAUUACCAUUUACAAACAUUAACUUAAUGAUCUAGGUACAUGCCAUUAUCAACAAUUAACAUGUGUUACUAAUGUAUGUACAAUAUUUAUUACACAUGUAUUUUAUUUUUACCAUACACUUGUCUUUCUUUUAUUUAUUUAAUAAUAGUUAAUAUAAUUAAUUUAAAACCUUAAACAUAUUAGAAUCCAAUAAAAAUCUUAGAUUUUAUCUAAGUUUGUCGCCUCAUCUAUAGUAUAUUGGCUUAAUUUCCAUUUUGAUCCUUUUUAUUUUCUUUUAAUCUACAAUUAAAUUUUCACACUUCAUUCAAUUUAAUCCUAUUUCCUAAUUAUCCUUAAUUUAAGCUAAUUCACUUCAUUAAACUUUAAUUGACCACUCACUUAACCUCAUAAAUAUUUUUAAUAAAUAUUUACGAGUCCAUUUUUCAGAAAUAGAGACCCGAAAAUAUACUUCUCCGAUAACCAUAAAGUUCGGGUCAUUACACCUAUGAUAAUUUUUCCUUUAGACCCAAAAUUUUAGUUAAUAAAAGUUGAACCAAGUAUUUUGUAAUUGGUGAUGUCAUAUCCUGUUAAUGUAGCAUGCUUCCACCCACCUAUAGAAAGAACUAUAAUCUAUUGUAAGAUGGCCAUUCAUGCAACAACUCGCAUGUCUGAUGAACAGGCUAAAUGCUAGAAUUGUGCACUUCCAGUUGGUGGAUUAUCAAGCAAAAAGACUUUGGCAAAAAAUGUGGCGAACAGUCCAAGUGUAAGGCAUAAUGGCGGACAAUCUAACCACCAACUGCCUUGAAGCUUUUGUUACAAGCUAACAAGUUUUCAACUUGUUCUAUAAAGUUGCAAGAUUAUUUUAUUUAUCUUUAUUUUGAUAGGUUAAUGUAAACAGUGUUGAUUAAACAAAAAUCAACUAAUGAGUAGGUACCAUGUAUUUAGACUUACCAACUUGUCAAGUUGUAGUUAAUACUUUUCUAUUUAAAGCUAUAUAUUUGAUUGCUAAUCUUUGCUUUGUUUUCUUUUUCCUUUGUAUCAAAAACCAACAAUUGGUACCUAGAGCCAGUCAUUUUUUAGGGCAUUUGAUUUAUCAAAAACCUAUGUUUCUUUGUUGUUUUGUAAAAAUGUCUUCAACUAGUUUUAUACCUCAUGCACCACUAGUUUUUAAUGGUGAAAACUACCAUAUUUUGGUAGUCAAGAUGAAGACCUACUUAAAAUUUUUUAACUUAUGGGAGGUUGUGAGUGCAGAUGUAGAGCCACCAUCAUUAAGAGCCAAUUCGACUUUAACAUAGAUUAGGCAGCAUAAUGAUGAUCAUGCUAAGAAAUUCAAGGUAAUUUCGUGUCUUCAUAAUGGUGUUUCUGAUGUGAUUUUCACGAAAAUUAUGGCCUAUGAGACUCCAAAACAAGCUUGGGAUAAGUUGAAGGAAGAGUUUUAAGGUACAGACAAAACAAGACAGCAACAAAUUAUCAACUUGAGGAUAGAUUUUGAGAACCUAAAGAUGAAGGAGUCUGAAACUAUUAAACAGUAUUCUAACAAAAUCAUGGAUGGUAUAAACAACAUAAGAUUUCUUGGAGAUUAGUUUCCUGAUAGCAGAGAAGUUGAGAAGGUGAUCAUUACACUUCCUAAGAGGCAUGAGUGAAAAAUAUCCUCUCUUGAAGAUUCGAGAGACCUAUCAACAAUCUCUCUAUCAUAACUAAUAAAUUCAUUGUAUGCUCAAGAACAAAGGAGAGUUGCAAGGUAGAAGAAGCAUGUUGAGGGAGCUUUUCAAGCAAGAAAUUAGGAAGGCUUGAGCUCCUCUAACAAUAAAGGAAAGAAAAUCAGGUAAAAAAGACAGAGAGGUCGAGGAGAGAAGGUGUAAAGAAGAAAUAUCCAUAAUGCUCUCGCUAUAAAACGAUUACUCAUUGUGAGAAGUUUUGUUGGUUCAGACCAGACAUACAAUGCAAAACUUGCAAGCAGUUUGGACACGUAGAGAAGGUUUGCAAUAAUAAAGUGUGAAAACCCAACAGCCACAACCACAUUAGAAUAUCCAGGCUUAAGCAACUAAGAGAAAUCAUGCUUAGGAGGAGCAAGUGUUCGUAACCUCUUGUUUUGCACCUAAAAACAAAAUCACAAAAGGUUGGCUAAUCGACAAUGGAUGUACCAACAUAUGACCUCAAAUGAAGCAUCUUCAAAAAGAUUAAUAAAAGUUGCAUUUCAAAAGUGAGGGUUAGAAAUGGCGAACUCAUACAAGCCAAAAGCAAAGUAGGUGUACUGAUCAAUAAGUUAUCAGGUACAAAAGUAAUUUCAGAUGUUCCUUUAGUACCUGAAAUAGAUCAUAAUCUUCGAUAAAGAUAUGAGGCUUUUUUUGGGGACUUCUAAUGUUAGAAAUGUUAGUAAAAAGGUAUAUGAAUAGAUUUUGAUGUGUUUUUAUGUUCUAUAUCAAUGGUUCCUGUUGAUUGCUUUGCGAUGGGUGAGAAUCAGAUGAGUCUCUAAACUGACUUUUGUGUGUAUUAUUCAUACUAGAAAAGCUGUAAGAAAUUGGUUGGAAGGUGAUGUGUGGUCUUGUAAGUUACAGUAUGUUGUGUAUGUGACUUAGGAGUGACUAUUAAAGGAUAUAUAUGACUGUGUCAAUGUUUAUUAAGAAUAGAAUGCAUAUCUGGUAUGAAUAUGAUAGUUCUAGUAAGGCGAUAUGAGGUAUGGUUGCAUCUGAAUGUCAUGAAUAUAUAUGUGUGUGUCUUUGAUGUAUGCUAUGAGGAAUGUUUUUUUAAGAGUAAGUUGUUAUUCAAAUGGUGAAUUUGGAUCAUGUCAGUGCAUGUAGAGUAUGUGUCUGUCUUCGCGGUAUUGUCUAAAGGAGUCUGUUAGGACUUUAAGUACAAAUUCUGAAAAGAAAAUUCCAUGCCUUCCAAAAGGAACUAAAUGAUGGUAAUUACCCAAUGGGGUUAUCUGCGUAUCCCAGGAUGAUGAUAGGAAAACCUCACGCAAUGUGAGUUUAAGAAAAUCCAUAUGUAAACACGUCAGGAAAUGAAGCCUUUGUAGAUAACUUUAAAAAGAAAGCCUUUGUGGCUAACUCUGAAAAGGAAGCCUUCAUGUCAAACUCUGAAGGAAUAGCCUCUAUGGUAAGCCUUUGUGGUGUAAUGUAAAAGGAACACCUAUGUGGCGAAUUAUGAAAAUAAUAGCCUUUGUGGUGGAUUAUGAAAGAGCACCAUUCAUAGCGAAAUUCGAAUGGGCUACCCUUGUGGCAUGUCUUAAUAAAGCUCUUAGUGGGAAAUGUUUAAAAGAUGACCCUUGUGGUAAUUUUUGAAUUAAGCUAAUUGUCGUAUUCAAUUUGGCUUUCAAAUGUAUUCAGAACACAAGCAGCAAGGUAUAAGUUAUCUAUUAAUUAUACGGUGAAGUAUCACAUAAGACUAUCAAUCGAUUAAAAGUAUUGAAUUGAAGAGAUAUAGAGAAAUGAGGAAUUAGUAUGGGAAGUGUAUUCAGAAUAAGGAUUUGAAAUUGUACGUUUGAAGAAGGUAUCUGUCAUCUAUGCACAUGGUCAUACUUGAAUCAUGGUGAAGUGAUGGCUUAGAACUAAGUAUGUUACAGUAAUAGUGUGUUGGUUAAGUUGAUCUUGGAAAGGAAAUGAAAAAAUACUUAUAAAUGCUCGAACGAAAGGCGUGCGUGAUGUAUCGAAUACCCCAAUGGAAAAAGAGUUAAUUUUUGAGUAAGGCAUGAUAUAUAUAGUGUAUGAAGAAUGGAAUUUGACGGAAGCAAUCGCCAAAGACAGGUUUUGAGAGUAAAUCCUAUCUACAAUUGAGAUUCUUAAAGGAUAGAAUCAAUCUUUUAAGAUUACAAAAUCAAGUCUUAUCAUGUUACAUAUCUUCUAAGAUUGGUUUCCUUAUUUGCCAAUAUAGCCCAAAUUUUCCAUAAAUGCUUCACUGGACCACCAAGGCUUCAAGGAGACAGGCUUCUCCACAUGCUCCACAAAUUGAGCCAAUUCAAAUGCGUCGAAUGAGCCCCAUUUCAUCAUUUGACCUCCAUGGAACAAUCUUUGCACAUUCAUCACGGGCUCUGAUCCGCGGCCUAUGACAUAAGCACAUAAAUGUUUAGUAAGUUCAAUUGGCAAGUAUUAUACUUACCUUGCUAGGUGGACCUACAAAUUCAUUGCUCAACAAGCUUCAUAUUCUCAUGUUAGUUACUUAGGAUAAGAUAAGGCAAAUGUAUAGGUAACCAUGUUCAUUAAUACCAUACAAGCAAAUUAUAACAUGUCCAAUAAGUGUUCAUUAUAUUCUAUUGAUCACAUGUGCACCUAUUUCCAAUUUAUUACAACCUUUCAAUUACAAUUCACAAGUUAAAAUAAUCAAGUUCAUACCUUUUUCAACCUUAAUUAUUUUAUUUAACCAUUUCUUGUCUGAUAUCAAUUUUGUAGCCCAUGUAAUCUUAGUAAAAUAGGACCCAAGUACUAUGAGAAAACCAAAAACUGUAUGAGCAUCGAAGUGCUAAGCUCGAAGACUAUCACAUAUCAUAUCAUGUAGGCCUCCGAAGAGGUAUUGAAAGUCUAAUGGUCUACAACAAAUGUUUUACCAAGGGUAAGAUAGAACUAGGUCUUCAGAAAACAAACCACAUACCUCUGAACCUCACACCACAACAAAAGUACUUAGGUGUAAGGCAUGAAGGCAACGUAUAACAAAUAGGCUCAAAGGCGACAUACACAUAUAACCCUAAUUGACAUGCCAAUCAUAUCCUAACCUUUCUACCAAGUUUACAUGAGCUAUCAUUAACAUAUUAAAGAAUUCACAUCAAGUACCAUUAAAGCAAUUUUUCACAUGUAUUGUCAUAUUUCCAUAAUGCCACACUUUAAUCACAAGAGUUAAAAUCUUCAACUGAGGUUUUCAUACCACAUGAAUUUACAUGUUUGUUCAUUCACAUUAACAUGGUUACUAAUCUCAUAAUCAUACUAAAUCUUAACUUGACAUAGUCAAUUACCAUAUUUAACACCUUGUUUCAUAUUUAAUUCUUUGCACAACAUGGUUUAGUCUAUAAACAUAUUAACUAGUAUAAUCCAUUAAGGUUCUGUUAAUAUACUUGUUAAUUAAUCAUCCAUUCUUGAUCUUAGCAUGUUAUAUUCAUUAUGCAUCAAAUUAAAUGUUGUUGAGCUAUUUAACACUUAUAAACAUUGUACUAAAAACACAUAAUAAGCAAAUAUUAUAAGUUCAAGUGAACUUACCUAUUAAGAUAUGGCUAAAAUGAAUGAAAGAUCAUUUAAUGAUCAUCAAUUUAAAUUUUCAUUUCCUUAACUUAAGCUUCAUUUGGUUAGCCUUAUUCUACUCAAAAUACAUACAACACAUACAAGCAUUGAAUUAAUAAUUUGAAUCUCCUUUGGUUAGUCUUACAAGCAUUGGAUUAAUUGAAUUCAACACUUGAUAGCCAUAUAGUGGCCACUUUACUUGUUGAAAAUUCAAGAAUGCUUAACCUUUGACGCAUAGACUUUUAUAUCCAAAAUUGAUAUAACUCCCAAUUUUCCUAUUCAAUUUUUUUGUUCCAACUUUAAAAUUAUAAUUUUAAGACCUCAAAUGAUCCAAAAACAUGUUUAAACUCCAAAGUUCUCAUCAUUAUCUCUAAGGCUUCUUAAGUACUCAACAAUGUUGGUAUGAACAUCCUUCAUACCAAUUUCUAAUCUACCUUCUUUUCUAACUUACUUACACUCUUCUAAGUUCAUCCCAACAAAAGCAUUGAACUAUCAUGAUCAAGCUUUAUCUCUUUAAGUUCCAAGCAUUCAUCUAUGAUUAUCUAAGGAUUUUUCUCAUCAAUUUUAACAUCGAAAUGAAUGGGCUCAUGCUUAUCUAUUAUUUUAUGCUAUCAAUUAAACCAAAAUUCAAAGGAAACUUAUCAAUUUCUUGAAGAGCAGCUAACGGCACCAUGAAAGCUCCAUGAAAAUUUCCUUUUUCUUCUUUGUUCUUAAACGAUGGAGAAUGGAUGAGGAUGACCAUGUAAUAAGCUUAUUCUCUCACCCACUAAGCAUAUAUAUACCUAAUUAAUCAAUUUAUUAACCUUUAAUAAUAAUCAUCCAAAGUUGGGAUUUAAGCAUGACAAAUUGAGCGGAAAUCUAUGGCUUUUGCCAUGCUUCUCCACUAAGUAAAUAAAUGAUGGUUUAUUUGUCAUUUUAAGGCAUUUGAUUAAUUUUUCAUCCAAUCCUCCAAACCUUGCAAGUUCACAUUUAGAUCUUAUGCAUCAAUUAUUAAUUUAUCAAUUUAAUCCAUUAAUAAUUCUCGACAAUAUUUCAUAUCUACCUCAUUAACUUCUCGAUUAAUAAUAAAUUUUCGAAACGGCUUGAUUGAGAAAUCGAAUUAUUCCUAGCACAGCGAAAAAUGGAUCAUCAAACUAUUUUAAUUUGAUUUAUUAAUGUCUUUUCCAAAUUCGUAUUUAAUUAAUAAAUAUUCCCCAAUAACCAACACUCGACAACAGUCAUUUUGGUAGUUCAUUUGAGUUACUUUGCCAUUUCCCUUUUGCUCGGCUUGUCCUUUUUUUUUUAUUUUUCUGAUUACCUUGUUCCCUUUGACCACCUUCAUUAAUUGAUAAUUUUUCCUUGUAUUAUAGGAGAUUUAUAAAUAUUCAUAUUGUAGCAAAAGUAAACUCAAAUUUAGAGUGCACAAGGAAAUAGUCAAAUAUCUCAACUUCAAAAGCCUUUAAUUAAGCCACAAUGUGUUCGCGCACUCUAUUAACACUAGUGAAUUUCAUUAAUAAUAAUUUGAGUACUAGCUAAAAUUUUAUCCCAAGAUUUAAAUUGUCUUUCAAUAAAUCCUCGACAUUUUUGUGGUUGUGGUCUCCAAAUACUUUUGUGAUCAUCCAUAAAGAACAACUUCAGCACGUAAUUCAACUUUAUGAAUAGUCAUCACUAAUUAAAUCAUGCAUAUUAAAUUUGAUAUCAGAAAAGUUUACAAGUAGCUUCAUAAAUACAUAAUUGUGAUAUAUUUGAAUGGUUUUCCACCUCAGCAUAAACUUAUUUUAGAGUAAAUUUGUAUGCGUUUUAGUCUUGUUACAGUAUCCAAGCCUAAUGGCAAUACCUUAAUAGUAAUUAUUCUCUCUAUCUAGUACUCGAAACUGGUUUUAAAUAUCUUCCAUUCAUUCAACAAAUAGUUAUGGUCUAAAGAAAUUUCUGGAAUUCAUGGCUGCCUACUUGCGAGAGGACUAAUGAAAUAUGCGAUGCAAGUUGAUGAAAUCUUAUAAUUUGUAAUAUAAAAAACAAAAACCAUACCUCCUUAAUAACAUAAAUAACACGUUCCAUAAUCAACAUCUGAGAACUUAAAACUUAAUUGUAAUGUUGGCUGAACCAGACUCAAAAAGGGGAGAAAAGAAAAAUAAGUCCGAACCUGAAAAAACUGACCGUAUAGAAAACCCUGACAGGCAGAACAGUAGCAAGCAACAUAAAACCAAGACAUAUUCACUUAAAGCACUUGGCAUCCAAGAGAGGCUCUCCCUCAAAUGGCUCGCAGUCUUCAAUCAUCUGAUUCACCCGUUCCUUCUGGGAUGCAUCUGAGAGGUCAACCUUCUUCCACUCGUAGAGUUCCAUGUCAUAGCACUCGUCAAUCACAAAUUGAGGAAUCUCUUGCCCACGGAAAAGCCAUAGUCCUUUCACCUUGAAUGGGGGGUUAGCACCGAUCACCAACAUCUUCCCAAAUGCAUACUUGCGGGCCAAAUCCAUUCUCUGCAGGAAUCCUCCAACCUUGUUCAUUGUGACAAAUGAAACUGUAUUCUCCUCAUUGUACUUGUAGUCACAAAACCACAGUGAGUAUCCCUCGGGAUCAUACAUGUCCCAGAAUCCUGACACGAAUCAAGUAUCAGAUAUCACAAGUCCAAACAUUGCUUUUAAAAGGGAGUGCUACUGUGAAAACAACGGGAAUACCUUUAAUUGCAACCUCUCGGAAAUUGGUCUUUGUGUUAGAGUAAAGCCUUUUCCAGUCAUCCAGUACCAUCUUACUUGGAGGCAGCAAAUCAAGAGGAUUCUUUGGUUUGGGCUUUGGUGCCUCCUCCUCCUCAGCGGCCUCUGCCUUUGCUGCCUGUUUCUCAACCUCCUUUUUGGCUUCUUUCUUUGGUUCAGCCUUUGGUUUAGUUUCUUUUGGCUGGGCAGCAGGCUUCUUUGAAGGAAC
rnacentral:lncRNA from 1 species